rnacentral:lncRNA from 1 species
GUGUGGUAAAUUGAUAGUGGGGAGGUGUGAUGGUUUACCUUUAGCUCUUGUGGCCAUAGGGAGCUUAUUGUCUCUUAAGGCACAGAAUGUUACAGAGUGGAAACUAUUUGACGGGCAACUUAUUUUCGAGCUACACAAAAAUGAGAACCUAAGUCGCGUGGUGAAAAUUCUGAAUCUAAGCUACAAAUACUUGCCUGACUAUUUGAAGAGUUGUUUCUUGUAUUGUGCCAUGUUCCCAGAAGACCACAUGAUCAAAAGAAAAAGGUUGAUCAGACUGUGGGUUGCUGAAGGGUUUGUUGAACAAAUUGGAAAUUGUAGUUUAGAAGAUGUUGCUGAAGGUUACCUGACACAACUUGUUCAACGAAGCAUGCUUCAUGUGGUAAAGAGGAACAGUUUUAACAGGAUCAAGUGUCUUCAAAUGCAUGAUCUUGUCCGUGAAUUAGCCAUUUUCCAAUCUAGCAGAGAGAGUUUCAGUAUGACUUAUGAUGAUAAUGAUGGGGUGACACAGGUGAAUCCGGAUUCUCGCCGCUUGUCAGUGCUCCAAUGCAAAAAUGACACUGAACCAAGCAUGGGGCAAUGCAGGCUUCGUACCUUCACAGCAUUUAGCAGCAACAUGGCAUCAUCUGCAUUGUUUCCCUCAGAAUCUAAGUACCUUGCUGUGUUGGAGCUAUCAGGAUUACCAAUUGAGACUAUUCCAAAUUCAAUUGGGGAGUUAUUCAACCUUAAGUAUUUGGGCCUCGAUAAGACCAAUGUCAAGAUACUUCCAAAAUCUGUUGUGAAACUUCACAAUUUGGAAACAUUGAAUCUUCAAGGUGCAGAGUGUGUGCAUUUGCCAGAAGGGUUUGAGAAGCUGAAGAAGUUGCGGCACCUUCUUAUUUAUAAAUGGCUGGAUAGAACAUGCUCGAUUCUCAAUUUUUUUGAACCUGUGGAUCCGUUUGAGGGAAUGUGGAGUUUGAAAGACUUGCAAACUCUGUCUGCAGUUCGAUCUAGUAAAGUAUUCAUUGUCAAACUAGCAAAUUUAUCUCAGCUGAGGAUCCUUCGCAUUACUGGGAUAAGGAGCAUCCACUGUGCACAACUGUGUGACUCUCUGUCAAAGUUGCAUCAGCUCUCAGUAUUAGGAAUAGUAGCCAGCAAUGAAGAUGAGGUGCUCCAGCUUGAAACUUUGACAUUGUCAUACCGCCUUAAAAAGUUCGGUUUAUCAGGGCGGAUUUCCGAAGGAACAUGGAAAUCUCCAUUUUUCUCAACUAACGGAGAUGUCCUUUACGAAAUAUCUCUACGUUGGUGCCAGCUCUCAGAGAACCCAGUGCCACGCCUCUCUGAAUUGUCAAAUUUGACCGCUAUACGUCUACGCAAAGCAUAUACUGGACAGGAGCUAACGUUCCAUCCAGAGUGGUUCCCUAAUGUGAAGACCCUUUCCUUGUAUGAUCUGCCACAUGUCAACCAAAUAUACAUACACGAGGGAUCUUUGGUCCGCCUUGAAGAACUUCGGAUUAGAAACCUGGCCGAACUGCGGGACACCCCUGCCGGCCUGGAACAUCUGAAGUCACUCAAAGGGGUGCGGUUUCUUGACAUGCAUCCUGAUUUUGAAAAGAACUUUCCAGUGGCAAAACUAGAGCAUGUCCCGAAAGUUCGCUGCACCAUACGGUAAUUGCAACAUCCUUAAUUAGCUGGCCAAUAUAUUAGGUUCGCCAUUUUCAUGCGAUUCGUUGUGUGCUUGAUCACCUGCACCAAGUUCUAGCUUCUGGAUUGAUGAAAUUUCGUUUUGCUGCAGAUACGAAGAGGAGUGAGUCUUUCUUGCGUGGAUGGGGUUUGCAAUUAUCGCCAUCAAUGUGGGAGCUAUGUACGUGGAAUGGCGAUUUUUAUGACGCAACUUUCAUUCUUGUUUCUUUUAUCGAUCUCUGCUUAUUUAAACAAGAACUGGUUUGUACUCCCUCCGUUCCUAAAUAUAAGUCUUUUAAGCGAUUUCAUUAGAUGUCUACAUACGAAGCAAAAUGAUUGAAUGUACACUUUAAAUUAUGUCUAUAUACAUCCGUAUGUAGACAUCUAGUGAAAUCGCUUAAAAGACUUAUAUUUAGGAACGGAGGGAGUAAUAAAGUAUGGGAAAGAUGUGUAUUACUGCUAUCCCAUCUUUUUUUAUAUUAUUAUCUAAGUUUAUUUAUAGUUGCACUAAGCUACCGCAUGGGACAACUAUUAUGUAUUUCUACACAGCGAUUCAUGUAAUAAUGCCGAAACAUUCAGAUACAUGAUGUGCACGUAUUUAAGAGAAAACAAUCCUUAUUUGCCACUGAAUGCUAUGUUCCAGUGCCAAGCAUCUGAACUUUCUUCUCAUCCUCUGGGUACUGUGAGUUUCAGAACUUGACAGUUGAGUUUCCUUGCAAUCUUGCCCUGGGAAACAAAUGUUUUAUGACAUGUAACUUAUGCAAUACCAAUCACAUUCAGAUGGUCUACUUAUCUGCUGCAUUACUGUUUUGCAUAUUGGUGCACUAGUAUUGUAUAUCACUAGUACUCUACUGUAUAGAGCACUAGCAGGCGUGAGAAGCAUGAAGUAGAAGACAAGUACUGUAGUUGGGUGUAGUUGCGCGGCAGUCAGAGCAGAGCACGUCAUGAAUCGGGUUAGCUGGAGACUAGGAGCUGAGCGCUCACCUUGUGGAGGUGCCCGGCGGCGAGGUACGGACGGGCGAGAUCCGAUCUGGUGGGCUGCGAUAACUUGUGAUGCCAAUCUGUAUUCUGUAUACACUCUGCCAGACUGAAACUCCUUGAAAUAAGCGGUUAGCUUUCCCAAAAACAAUCAACAACUCUGUCGGACUGAAAGUCUGAAACCAUAGCAUAUAUAGCAGCAAACCUUGUACUCAGCCUGAAUUAGAAGACAAGCAGUUGGGUGUAGUUGAGAACCCGAUGAAUCAAUAGGCUAUGAGCUGAGCACACACCUUUUCGAGGCGUCCGGCGGCGAGGUGCCAUAAUAAGUUUUUAUUUUUCAUAAAUCUGUAUUUUUAAAACAUAGAUCGUGCGUCUAUUUGUUGAACAGUUUUCAACGUUAGAUUUCUUCUGCCGAUAACUAGAUCCCAUGUUAAUAGGUAUUGACGAAUUCUUUUUAUGAAAAAAACUGGACAAAAAAAUCAUACAAAAAAACCAACCCUCUCGUGAUAGAAAAGCAAAAAAUACGUUUUUUCGACCAAAAUCUAAAAACACCAAAAAAAUAAAAACGCGUGCGAAAAAAUAAAAAACCAAAAUCCGAACAGAACACUCAAAACGCGAGUCAAGACGGCGGCUGAGAAAACGGCACGUGACGGUCCGUAGGAGUGAUAGUUGAGCGGCUCCCGAAGAAGUACUGGCCAACCACUGGAUCCCCUUAUAUCUUGCCUUCAACGAGUCUGGUAACUCGCCGAAGGGGCGAGUGAAAUGGGCGGGCCCACAAGCAUCAUAGGCCACAUCCUCUUUUUUCUGUUUUUUUCCAUGUUUUUAAAUUUAUUUUUUUGCUUUAUUUUUAUAUUUUUGUUUAUACUUUAAACUUAAAAUAUAUAGUAAGAAAACAAUCAUUACAAAAAACGUUCGAAAAUUAUUGAAUAAGGUUAAAAAAUUGAACAAGUAUUUGCAAACUGUUGAACAAAUAUUUGAGAAAUGUUGAACAAGUAUUUAGAAAAAUAUCGAUCAUGUAUAUAAAAAUGUUAGUCAAGCAUAUGAAAUACAAAUGUAGAAUAAUUAUUUGAAAACUGUUGAAUAAUUAUUUGGAAAAUGUUGAACAAGUAUUUAAAAAAUAUGUUGAUCAUGUAUAUAAAAAUGUUAAUCGAAUGUUUGAAAAACAAAUGUAGAACAAGUAGUUGAAAAAUGUUGGAUAAAUAUUUGGAAAUGUUGAGCAAGUAUUUAAAAAGAGAUAAAUGCUUGGGCGGUCCUCAAAGUUUCCAAGGUAUGUCAAGUAGGUCUCAAAUAUUUGAAAAUCCACGUCUGCGUCCUAAAUGUUACGUAAGUGAUUCAUUCCAGGUACUUUUCUCGUCUGACCAGCUUUGACCCACGUCAUGUGGACAGCGGGCCCAGGAGACCAAACGGUAAUAUUAAAUGUGGUUAAACAUGGCAAGAGGUGAAGCGCAAUUAAACUACCUAUCUAGGCAUUUUAAAUGAGGUCGGAAAUGACAUAUAGCACCUCCGAGAUGACCUCACAUGUUAAUUUACAAUNNNNNNNNNNACAUUUUAAAUGAGGUCGAAAAUGACAUAUAGCACCUCCGAGAUGACCUCACAAGUUAAUUUACAAUUCUGUCCAGAUCUGAACUAAUGCAUUUAAUUAGUUGUUAAACCGCAAAACAAAUAGGUUCACGUGAUUCUACGCGUCAUUUCAAGCAAUCUACACAUAAAGAACAUAUCCAACGGCGCUACGGAUCAAAAGUUACAAGCACCGCAAGAUAUGAUGGCAUGAAUGCAAUAUGUGUGCAACGACGGUCUCGAGCCCUUCAAAACAUACAAUCCGCAAGAGAAAAUGAAACUACGCGAGAUUCUAAGCAAGUUUAAUAUAUGACUCGAUCAAAACGGAGCUACGGUUCAACAUCUACAAGCAAAACAAGAAAACACUACAAUCUGCCAAAAUCAGCCACAUAGCAUUUUCUACGCCCCNNNNNNNNNNUGCCCUUCAAAAACAUACAAUCCGCAAGAGAAAAUGAAACUACACGAGAUUCUAAGCAAGUUUCAUAUAGGACUCGAUCAAAACGGAGCUACGGUUCAACAUCUACAAGCAAAACAAGGAAACACUACAAUCUGCCAAAAUCAGCCACAUAGCAUUUUCUACGCCCCACAACUACGAGCUACACAACUCCGAUAAACUCAAGCAAGGCAUGGCACGAAAGAGGGCAAGACGCACUACUACAAACAACUAACAACAACUAGCAUGGCAGCAAGGAACACUAGGGAAAGAAGUCACAAAAUGGCUUCCCACACACUAUUUCAGACUUAGUGAAAAUAACACCCCAUGAAAGUGCAGUUUUCGAUCUGAAGCAAUAUUGACAGCAGCAAAACCUAUAGCUACAGGACUCCAAAUGGUAUGAAAAUUUAUAGCAUGCUAGAGAAACACAAAGGGUACAACUAACUCCAUUGGACCAACCUCAAAAGAGCUACAGAUCACAAGAUGCAAGCAAGGCAAGACAGCAACAAAAUAAUAACAGAUCCCAGACUUAGAAAUAUUUCAGCACCUCCAAAUCAGCACUAUUUCUAACAACUUGAGAGCAAGCAAACAACACCUAAACAUGCAUUUCUAUUGCAACCAAAAAUACGAGGAGCUAAACAAAACAUCCAAGAUCAAAUCUCUAGUUGACAACUAAUUCAAACGAGGCACGGGAUAAAUCCUACGAAUUAAUCAAAAAGGCAACAUAGCAAAAUAUCUCGCGAACUAACUUGCUAUAAUGCUAAAACUAAUUGCACAGAAAAAUCCAUGAGAUUGUUUUACACCCGGAAACAUAUAAAAUAUGUGGGGUUUGCAACACAAAAUAAUGCCGCACAUAAAUGCGAGAAAAAUAACCUAUACACGGGAAAAUAAAUUACCGGCAAACCCUACACGCAAAAAUACAAAUGACUGGUCUAAAGUACAUGGAAAAAUAGUUCCUAGAACAUGGGCAUUUUGUCUAAGGUACUCGAGCAAUCCGGACCGCAAGAAAAAAAAAUACGGGACGAAACAAUAUAGGACAGCACGUUAAACUAGGCGUUCGACACGUAAAACUAUGUCAAAUAAUUAUGCAAGUUGUGAAAUCAUGUUCUACUCGCAAAACUACCCCAAAACCAUAUAAAACACUCCUCGUUCCGACUUACGGAUAAAAAGUUACGGGCAUUUAAAUAUCUAGCAUAACCCCGAAAAUAUUAAAUCGCAGACUAAUUAGAAAAACCGAAUCGGGCCUAACCUACACAGGGCAUUGGGCGCAAGAUAAAAGAACGCGCCACAGGCGCUAGAUAGGCAACAGGGAGGGGCUCACCUUGUGGGCUUCGGCCCAUGAGGAGAGGCUGGAGCAGAGGGGAGGGCGAGUAGCGCUGGCCUGGGCCUCGGUUCGCUCGUGGGCCUGGCAGGGACGCGGGCCGGCCUGCUCGGCAGGUGAACGCCUAGGCGAGCAGCCUCGACUUUCUCCCGAGCGAAGCGAGCAGCUGCGGCGGCGCAGCGCUGCUCGAGGGAGCUUCGGCGAGCGGACUAGGGCGGCGCUGGCUGGAGAUGGAACACACCUCCCCGGGCCGGAUCUCGCCGGAACCGGCCGGAUCUGGGCGGCGUCGACGGAGAUCAAUCAGGGCUCGUUCGCUGCAGAGAGAGAGAGGAAGAGAAGUGGUGAGGGAGAGGAGGUAGGAGGAGAAGGGAGAGGAGAACGCAGGGCACCGGUUGGAUGGCGGCGGGGUCAGCGCGGUGGCGGCUUGCCGGAGCACCGGUGGCCGGCCGACGUGGGAGGAAGGCAGGGGGGUCUCCGACGAGGGAGAGGCGAGGGGAGGCUCCGGCGUCGAGGGAUCUCUCGGGCACGGGCUGCGCGGAGCGCUGCGGGCGGCGGCGCGAUGCGGGCUCGGGCGGUCCCCGGAUGGGCUUCGCGGGCCCGGCGGCUGGAGGGAGGAGAGAGGAUGGCUAGGGUUUCGGGGGGGGGGGGGGNNNNNNNNNNNNNNNNNNNNNNNNNNNNNNNNNNNNNNNNNNNNNNNNNNNNNNNNNNNNNNNNNNNNNNNNNNNNNNNNNNNNNNNNNNNNNNNNNNNNNNNNNNNNNNNNNNNNNNNNNNNNNNNNNNNNNNNNNNNNNNNNNNNNNNUGACUGUCUAAAAAAUAGGAAGAGGGGUAUAUAUAGGGAAAAGAGGGGCUCGGUUAACCGGAAUCGCAUUCCGGAUCCAACCGCGGGGUCGGAUUCGGACGAUUCCGAAUGCGGGUAUGGGUACGCGGCCGUGUAGAGGGGAUAUCCGGAGACGAGAGGGAGAACGGGCGGCCCGACAUGAAUUUUAAAACAUCGACAGACAUCUGACGGUAGACCGAUUACGGUGCCACUACGGUCGACCGUUCGGGUACCAGAUGGACUCCGAUCGCGACGAAAUUGGACAGGCGGCCUAGCUAUAUCUAAUCACGACCGCAUGCCAAGUUUCAUCUUGAUUAGAGAAAGUUUUAAACGCACUUUUAAAACAGAGUUACGACGGUGCCGGGGGGGCGUGCGUGUGUGGUCGGGCUAAGAACGGACAACGACUCGAACCGGCAACUAACAACGGAUGCAAGUUUUGAAAACUGGCGGCAACGGAGACGCCGAUGCAAUGCUAAUGAUGCGCAUGAUGCGAUGAUGAUGCAACAAAUAAAAUAAGCCACAUGACGAAAACGGAAAGGAAAGGGAAUCUUCUGGAACGUCGACAUCGGGCUGUCACAACUCUCCUACACUACAAGAGGAUCUCGCCCCGAGAUCCAAGAAUGAAAGGGGGGAGAGGAUGAGAAAGAACGAGUGGUAAAAACUUAGUCGCUUCUUUGACAAAUGAGUGACACCAACGAUCCUUGAAGGUCGCAAAGAGAUGAGGAAUGAUAUGAGAAGGAAGCAAGAAUUCACGGAAAAUUUCGGCAGCACUUCGGUAGGAAAAUGGGACCAAAAAUUCGAUAAGAUGGAAGACAUAGGCAAUAAACAUAAGAAACAACUAAAUAGAGCAAGGAAACACCAUGAUCUUGAUUGAACAACAAGAUUGAUCCAAAAGAGCAAUAGCACAAAGCCUCCGGAACAAGAGAAUGUGAACUAGCUCAAGCGGAAGAAGAGAAUGAAGAAAAGAAAGACAACUAUCAUCACAAUAGAAUUGAAGAGCCUCCGGACAGAGAAUUAACUUAGUAGUUGGAAAACCAACAACGAAGAACAAGACAGAAGUGGGCUUACGAGGAUCAUCUCAACCAAUAUGAGGUGACAACCAACCACUAAAAGAAACAAGGAUAGAUUGGGAGAAACAAGAUAUGAACAAUUCUUACACCAAGAGGAUGCAUUGAGAACUUAGAUCAAAGACAAGCACCAUGAUAGUACAAUCCCUAGGAAAAGCUUUAGGUGAAAUCCAAACCAAGAUAGCUCAAUGAAGAAAUCAUGGGUUGAAAUAUCUCAACACCAUAGAAUCGGUGGGUUUAAUUAUCUCAUCCUUGAAAGGAAAACUCUUCGAGGCUCCUACACUAACAAGAAUGCUAUAAUACCACCUCAAAGGAUAACGGAAGAACAAAUGCACCGAAAACGGAAGAGAAAGAAUACUUGAGGUAUUCCAACAGGAAUCUUGAAGAACACAUGAGAAUGAAUCACAUCCUUGAUGAACCACGAAGAAGGACCUCCGUAUACAAAUGAACGAUGCAAAGAUAUGAAGGUAGAAAAGAAUAUGAUUAUGACCUGCCAAGAUUUAGAUGAAGCCUCACGGAGAGAAACUAGAUAGAACUUACAACUCCGUACAAGAAAAGAUAAGAACACUUGAGAAACGAAUUGAUAUCGUGAGUCACUCCGGAAGAAGAAUUGAAAUCAUUAUGAAACAAGAAUAAGAAUUAUGUUAUGCUUAUCCUUCAUCAAGUUUAAUUGAUGACAAGCAACGGAUUUAGCAUAUAACUUAUUCCACUUGAAAAGAUUAAAGAGAGAUAGAUAAAGCACAAACUAGAAGAAAUGUUGCAAGAAACACCGGUAAUAAUUCACAAUUGCAUGGGAACACCCCGAAUUAAUGGAGAAACGUGAGAAUGAAGAGCUCAUGAGCCACCUGAGAGAAAACUUGAACAAGACACCGGAUAAUCGAGAGACGAACGAAGAGACAACAAUGGAGAAGAAUUGAGGAUGAAAGUUGAAAGCUGAGAACGACGAAUUUUCUAAAAUGAUGGCCUUCGGAGGAACGAGAAAUAAAAACAACUCAGAACUGCACCGGAUAGCACGAAAGGGAUUACUCAUGAUUGACAACAAAUGAGAGGAUAACGCGAAGCUGAGAUGACAGUCUUCACAAGAAUGGACAAAGAUUUACGAGGAACACUCCUUCGAAUUGCAAGGUGAGAAUGAUGACGAGAAACAACACCAAGUAUAGCUGAGACACUCCGGAAUAAUGAGGAAUGAAAGGUUGAGCCAAAUAUGAGAACUAAUUCGAACAGGCCUUUGAGAAGGGAUAUGACUGAUGAAAUUCAUACUUACGUCAUAGUUGAAAUAAAUAGAGAACUCCGGGAAAAAAUUAAAGAGCCAGGUAAGAUCCUGGGAAGAACCUGUGGGUUAUGGGCCCACUCAAAGAAACCACCGUUAAAAGAUAGCUAGAAGGAUUGAUAUAGCACCGGUAAAAAGAAAAACUAGAUGAGGUUGAGCACCUCAAAAUAAUUGAAAGAAUUGAAAACGAGAAACUACUGAAAUAUCUUUAACACUCCGGAUAGAAAAGAGAGGAAUGAAUAGCAAGAAGACUGAUAAGAAUUUCCAACAUGGGAAAGAAUUUAAUGGUUGAAAAGGAUAUGAUGACCAUGGAUAACUGAACUGAAUUCACCGGUAAGGAUGACAAGAAUGAACAAAUAUGACACGAAGCUCCUGAGAAUCUUCACGAUGAAUCACCGGAUAGGACACGGAAUAAAAGAUAGCUGAAGCACAAUGAAAUGAAUGCGCUUGGAUGAAAUCCAAUCAUCGAAGAAAAAGGGCGGGAGGGCGGGGAAAACCAAAGACAACUUGGGACGGAUGAGAUGAACUCCGGAAUAAAAUGAGAGAACGAUCUUGCAAAAUUACAGAGGAUAGAAUUCACUAGAGGAGAAGCACACCGGUUGGAAAAGAAUUAACAUGACGACUCCGGUUGACAAGAAUUGACAUGACAAUUGAACGAACAAAAGAAUUUGCAUUCCCACAUAAAAAUAUGAGAACACCACUUAGGAAAGAUCUGAAAUCACCACUUGACAUCGAAGCAACUUGAAUUACCAUAUUAAAACAAAACAAACGGUGCGGCUUUCAAUUAGCCAGAACAAACUCAUGAGAAAGAUUUCGUCCGAUAUUUUCGUGGACAGGAUCGCACGGGCACGAUUUUACAGUAACCAUCAAGUGCAAGGCAGUGCACCCGACAAACGAAGCGUCCCCGAGUCGUAGCAAGCUACAAGGACUCUUUAAGACACAACGUGUACUGCUGUAAGUCGACCGUGAACAAACGAAUCCACUAGAUGUCGAACCCCAACCUAACAUCAUGCAUUUGUUGGAAGAUUGUCCUAUAAGCAACUACUUGAAUUCCCACCUAUGAAUUCCCGAAAUAUCUGGUCAUGCAAUCUGGUACACGGAUACAAGGAGUAAUAAUCACACAACUCCUAUACUAACCCGUCACCUGUAUCACAUCCGUCAACACACAACCAGAAUCUCGGACCUUCAUCUACAACAGACCCUCGUGAUCACAACGAUACAAAGUAUGACAGUACUCCCGAACAAUCUGCACCAGUACUCGGGACAUCGGGGUUAUCUCGCCACUACUAGUAUUGAAGCAAUUACGAACAUCCUUCGUACUGAGAUACUAAGAAAUCUGAAUGAUAACGAUGUGCUCAAGAAUCCCCUCGAGCUCAACUCCUCGGAAGAAAUUCAAGUCAGACAGGAGGCACCAAGACAGAACUCCAUCACAUUGGCAUCAUAUAGAUUCCAAAAAUAUCUGCGUGAUCCUAAAAAAAAUUUGAGUGAGAAGAGGAGUAGAGUAAAUUAUUACGUCAAGAUUCCUCACCAGAGCAUAGAAGAGGAUAAAAAAGAAUCGUACUCUCCGAUAUAUAACUAGACUCAAAGUAUUUUUUUUCACUAGACUCGACUCGGCCAAGUUCGAUCAAUCAAGGGGGCUCCUAGGUCGGUACUAGUCUGAUACCAACUUGUCACGCCCAAGAUGUGACCCUAUCCUCAAUUUGGCACGAGGGCCUCGUCAGGGAUAGAAGCGCAUCUCGUCGGAUUCCCUAGUGGAAAACCUCAACUCUGAGAUUACCCAAAGCAUCACCGGAAUCCCGAUGCACAAGAUAUCUCGUCAAAGGUAAAACUAAUCCAGCAAGGCCGCCCGACGUGUCGACGAUCCCGAUAGGAGUCGUGUACCUCGUUCUCAGGACACGACGGAUGAGCGAUGGUUACCACGCCAAACGCCGAGUUGCCCUGGGUAGCGUUAAUAAGCUGCUCUGUUUUGGACCAACCCUCUUGAGGAGCACUGGCCCGGGGGUUGAUUAAAAUAGUCCGCAGGUGCCGGCGGGUCCCUAUGCAUUAUUAUUAGGUUAUUAGGCAAAUGUAGUACCAAAGUUGGGCCUUGCCAGACCAGCUUUAAUCUAAAACGAAUUAUCAAGGGGGUCCCCAUAACAACCCCGAUCGUGUUAGCAGCGCUCAUUUAUGGAACAUAACACCGGUAGCCAGAAACUAAGAGGGGCAAAGGUGGAACAAAACACCAGGCUAGAAAGGCCGAGCCUUCCACCUUUUACCAAGUAUAUAGGUGCAUUAAAUUAAAUCAUUUAAAUAUCGUGAUAUAACAAGGAACCCAUGCUUUCACAUGGAAGCAAUGCACCUGCAACUAGCAACGCUAACACAGGGUUAAGCAAGCGGUAACAUAGCCAAUCAGUGGUUUGCUAGGUUGAACAGGUUGAAGGUUAACAUGGCAUUGUUAAGAGGCUGACAUUUAAAAGGUGGUAGGCAACGAGACAUAAUCGAUAGAAGCGAUAAAACUAGCAUGGCAAUGAUAGUAAUGGUAUCUGGGGAAAUGAUCAUCUUGCCUGAGAUCCCGCUUGGAAGAAGAAUGCCUCCGUGAAGCAGACGAACUGACGUAGUCGAACGGGUCCUCAGAAUCCACACGCUGCGGAACUCUAUCGAGACGAAGCAAACCGAAAACACAAAUCAACACACAAAAUUCACCACACGAUGCACUACACAUGUGAUGCAUGAGCUACUGAAUACAUGCAAGUCACGGCAUGACAAUUCACACAAUCAAACACUACACAUUAAGUGAAGUUCAAUAUGCAAAGAGUUGCAUAUUGACGAAACUCCACGUUUAUUUAUUUAGUUCUAUCCCGAUUAGAUACACGGCAAUAUUAAAUGUGGUUAAACAUGGCAAGAGGUGAAGCGCAAUUAAACUNNNNNNNNNNGAAUCUACACAGGGCAUUGGGCGCAAGAUAAAAGAACGCGCCACAGGCACUAGAUAGGCAGCAGGGAGGGGCUCACCUUGUGGGCUUCGGCCCAUGAGGAGAGGCUGGAGCAGAGGGGAGGGCGAGUAGCGCUGGCCUGGGCCUCGGUUCGCUCAUGGGCUUGGCAGGGACGCGGGCCGGCCUGCUCGGCACGUCAACGCCCAGGCGAGCAGCCUUGGCUUUCUCCCAAGCGAAGUGAGCAGCUGCGGCGGCGCAGCGCUGCUCGAGGGAGCUCCGGCGAGCGGACAAGGGCGGCGCCGGCUGGAGAUGGAACGCACCUCCCCGGGCCGGAUCUCGCCGGAACCGGCCGGAUCUGGGCGGCAUCGACUGAGAUCAAUCAGGGCUCGUUCGCUGCAGAGAGAGAGAGAGAGGAAGAUAAGUGGUGAGGGAGAGGAGGUAGGAGGAGAAGGGAGAGGAGAACGCAGGGCACCGGUUUGACGGCGACGGGGUCAGCGCGGUGGCGGCUUGCCGGAACACCGGUGGCCGGCCGACGUGGGAGGAAGGCAGGGGGGUCUCCGACGANNNNNNNNNNNNNNNNNNNNNNNNNNNNNNNNNNNNNNNNNNNNNNNNNNNNNNNNNNNNNNNNNNNNNNNNNNNNNNNNNNNNNNNNNNNNNNNNNNNNNNNNNNNNNNNNNNNNNNNNNNNNNNNNNNNNNNNNNNNNNNNNNNNNNNNNNNNNNNNNNNGGCACGGAGCGCUGCGGGCGGCGGCGCGAUGCGGGCUCGUGCAGGCCCCAGAUGGGCUUCGCGGGCCUGACGGCUGGAGGGAGGAGAGAGGCUGGCUAUGGUUUCGGGGGGGGGUGGGGUUAGGUUUUGCACGGAUUUCGAGGCAGAGGGGGAUGGCUGUCUAAAAAAUAGGAGGAGGGGUAUAUAUAGGGAAAAGAGGGGCUCGGUUAACCGGAAUCGCGUUCUGGAUCCAACCGCGGGGUCGGAUUCGGACGAUUCCGAACGCGGGUAUGGGUACGCGGCCGUGUAGAGGGGAUAUCCAGAGACGAGAGGGAGAACGGGCGGCGCGGCACGAAUUUUAAAACAUCGACACACGUUCGACGGUAGACCGAUUACGGUGCCGCUACGGUCGACCGUUCGGGUACUAGAUGGACUCCGAUCGCAACGAAAUUCGACAGGCGGCCUAGCUAUAUCUAAUCACGACCGCAUGCCAAGUUUCACCUCGAUCAGAGAAAGUUUUAAAAGCACUUUUAAAACAGAGUUACGACGGUGCCGCGGGCGCGUGCGUGUGCGGUCGGGCUCAUAACGGACAACGACGAGAACCGGCAACUAACAACGGAUGCAAGUUUUGAAAACUGGCGGCAACGGAGACGCCGAUGCAAUGCUGAUGAUGCGCAUGAUGCGAUGAUGAUGCGACAAAUAAAAUAAGCCACAGGACGAAAACGGAAAGGAAAGGGAAUCUUCUGGAACGUCGGCAUCGGGCUGUCACAUCUAACCCUAUCGCAACCACUGUCUCGCCGCCCAUCCCAAGUAGCUCGAAUUAGCUGUAGAUUUUGACGAGAUUCAUUGUAUUUAGGCCCACUUGAGGAGCUCUUCACAGUAGAAAUCAACUAUGGUGGAGCCUAGUAGAAGCAAGCUUUCAAGGGCUAGAAGAAUUGCACUGCAGUAUAUACAUGGAGAUGAGUUGGAGCAGUAUAAUUUACUGUGGGAUUUUGCUGCUGAAAUUAGAAGAUCUAAUCCUGGGAGCACUAGUUUGUUAGUGCAAAAGAUGGACUGUUUGAAAACUGCUACAUGUCAUUAGAUGCAUGUAAGAGGUGUUUUUUGGUAGCUUGCAGGCCCAUUAUAUGUAUUGAUGGGUGCCAUAUCAAGAACAAGUUUGGUGGAGUGAUGUUGACAGCUGUUGGUGUUGACCCAAACGAUUGCAUAUUUCCUAUAGCCAUUGCAAUUGUGGAAGUAGAAGAUACCAACAGUUGGAAGUGGUUUCUAAGCACAUUGAAACAAGAUUUAGGCAUAGAAAGUACAAGGGCAUGGACUCUGAUGAGUGACAGGCAGAAGGUAAAAUCCUGGGAUUAUAUUUGUUUACUUGUUGCCAUGUUAUGUGUCUGUAUGCCCUGUUAUGUUUAUUUAUUUAUGCCUCGUUAUGUCUGUAUGUAUGCCAUGUUAUGUGACUUUAUUUAGGUCAUUAUAUGUCUCUUUAUUGCCCUGUUUUGCUUAUUUAUGCUUUAUUUAGAACAUGAAAGAAGUGUUCAACAAGUGAGUUCAUUUGAUCUCAGUUAACUGUAGAAUUUUAGUAGCAUUGGCCACUGCAGUGCAUGCCAUCAAAUAGGUCACAACAAAAGAAAAUGUCUAUCACUAGGUAGAGGAGCAGUAGGCCAUCGAGUAGAAGAAGUACAGAAGGAGAAGCACCACAGCAAGAAGAAGUAGAAGGAGAAGCACCACAGCAAGAAGCAGCAGAAGGAGAAGCACCACAACAAGAAGAAGUAGAAGGAGAAGCACCACAACAAGAAGAAGUAGGAAGAGAAGCACCAGGAACAGAAGAACCACAUCCAGAAGGUCUUUCUCCACAACCAGAACCAAUUCGAAUAGUGCUAGCAGACGAGGAACCAAAAGAAUCUCCCUAGAUGACACAAACCAGACAAAAACUAGCAGUCAAGAGAAAUGCCAGUCAAAAGGUGCACCUCUAUAUGCAUUUCCUCAUUUUUAUUUUGUACUUGCAAGUGUUAAUUAUGUGUAAUUUAUUGCCUGUGCAAUUUCUAGAAAAAAACUAGUACCACAAUCCAGGAUAAGUGCUUCCAAUGUUGUUGCAUCCUCAUGCACCCCUGAUUUGUCCACAACUAGUAUCAUUUUUGAGACAUUGUUCCAUUUUUGGAACCAACUGGUUCAUCUUCAGUGGCUUUUCCUUCUUCGGGACUUGUAUUUCCUUAUUGAACUCGCUUAUCUCAAGGUUCAACAACUUGACCUGACGUUCGAAAUUGAAAAUCUUAUGGUAGACAAUUGCGUUGUCAUCGAUAAUCUUGUCCUUCCCCUUCGUCAUGGAGUCAUUUAACUCCUACAGGGCCUGGAUGGUAGACUAACGUGACGCGAUCAGCUCGUGAUUGAGCACGUCCACGUCACGUGUUUCCUGCACAACGGGUGCUGAAGAAGGCGGACCAGCUGAUACAUAUGCCUGGCAAGGGUUUCAAAUCAUCAACAAUUAAUUGAUGGUUAGAUAUAUGGAUGUUUGCAAUGCUAGCUCAUGCAUGUCUUUUGUAAUCGUAAUUACCUGGUUGGUGCUCACAUCACUUUUAUCUGAGGCAUACCCCGACCAAUGGUCAGAUGAGUCUAUCCACAAACUAGAGUUUGCCAUGCUGUUUGGCUAAAGAAUAAAGGACACAUGGAGUGUUUAAUUACUCGCUCUGUUCCUAAAUAUAAGUCUUUUUAAAGGUUUUUCACCAGGGGACUACAUAGGAAUGUAUAUAGACAUACUUUAGAGUGUAGAUUCACUCAUUUUUCUUCGUAUGUAGGACUUAAUAAUAUCUUUCAAAAGACUUAUAUUUAGGAACGAAGGGAGUAAUAUGCAUGAAAAGAAGAAGUAUCUUCUAAACUUAACAGGAAUAAACAUGAAACAAAUUAAAUAAAAAUGAAUUACAGGUGUGCUACCAAACACAUAUGAAAAACUAAUUGUGUGCUACCAAACACACAUGAAAAACUAAGUAUGAGUGUGCUAUAAAACACAUAUUAAAAAUUGGUAAGUUUAUAUUAAAGAUCCCCCAAAAAAUAUAAAGAUCCUAUAAAUAGUUCCGUAUAUAUAUAAAUGCUACUGGGACCCAAAAUGUAUAGCGGCAUCCUGCUACUAUCCAAAAUAUGCAUGUAAUCAUCAUGCAUGUUCUAGUGACAGUUUUAGUAGGAAGGCUACUAGAGAAAUUGACAAUUUUUAUAUUUAUUUAAAACGAACAUGGUCAAUGUAUAGUCAUAUCCUAUUUAAUGUGCAUAUCUAAACUUGAAUCCUACCAUCCAAAAUCAUAUCUCUCACAUCCACUUCUAUCUCGCUGUUCCUUCUGGUGGAGAGACUACAUCAAGAUAUUUUCUAUUUAUAAAGAACAUGCAUAGUCAUUUUAAACAAUGGCCAGAGUUUAAACUUUUGGACAGAUAUUUGGGAGGUGAUACUAAAACUAUUGACAAUUACUUUGAGGUAUUCUACAUACAAUAAUUGCAACACAUUGAUACUAGACAUCAGUCAUUCUAAAUAAGGAGGAAAUAUACCAUAUAACAAUUACUUUGAGGUGUUUAAAUGCAACAAUUGCAACACAUUUUCUAAUUAGGCUUAGUAAUUUGAUGUUUUGACCCUACCCUUUGUUGUCAUCCUAGAUUCGCCACUGCAGCAUCCAACUACCAUCGGGCAACUAACCCAAGCCUUAAGAAAAAUGAGAGAGGGAGGGGGCGGUGGACUUACCGCGGAGGUGCUCGGGGGCGUCAGGCGGAGGCGGCGACUUCAUCGAGCGGAGGCGGCAGCAGCGCCCGGCGGGGCUGCGGCGACGUCAGGCGGCACAACGUCGGGGACCGAAAGGAGGAAGGGGUGGAGUUGGGAUCGAGAGAAGGACGAAAGGACGAUAAGUUUUUUUACUACGUUGAUCGGGAGUUGUUAAAACCGACUAAUGCUGGUGUGGGCCAAAUGUACAAGCCGUGCCUAAUUUGGCAACGCGAGCACUAAGCAAAUUCUAUGAUGUGCGAAUUCGACCGACGUCAACACUAUUUGAAAAUACUAAUGAUGACGUCAGUUAGCAAUUUCUCUACUAGUGAUACAACUGUCCUUCUAACCAUCCAAACGCAAGUUGGUUUGCGUAACGCGGAUAAUUCUAAAGUUAUUUGUGAACACGAGUGCACAUCUAUACUACGUACGUAUCUACAAAAUUUCAUAGCAAUAUACGUCUACAUGUGGCGUUUAGAAGAAAAAAAACAAAUAUACUUUUUUAAACGGGUCUUUUAUUUUUGUUCUUGGACCGGAAUUUUGUCUUUUUUACAACAUACAAACCACAACAUUUUUCGACGAUAUUCAACACGUUCCUGCAGAAUACAUACAUGUUUCCAUGGUUUUUCUAGAUUUGUUUGAAAAUUUUAAAUAUGAUUUUUGAUAAUUUUAAAAUACCAAGCUCACUGGAGCUCGGCCUCCAUCGCUACAAGCACAACAUAACGGCUACUAGGUCUUAAACCCUUUAUUUUUUUGCUAGACAGGGAAGAACUUGUUUCUUUGUUGCAGUCCUUCAAGUUACAGCAUGACAAACGUAAUUAAUAAAUUCAGUUGUUACAGUGUUCACAAGCCCAAUUCAUAGCUCAUUUUAAAUUAGCUACUACUAUUCAUAGAUCUACAACGGACAGAUCUACUUCCUCCGUUUCUAAAUAUAAGUCUUGUAAGAGAUUUUAUUGCGGACUAUAUACGGAGCAAAAUGAGUGAAUCUACACUCUAAAGUUUGUCUAUAUAUAUAUCCAUUUGUAGUCCAUCGUGAAAUCUCUUAAAAGACUUAUAUUUAGGAACGGAGGGAGUACAUCGUUGAUCAUACCGUGCUCGUGCCGCGUGAUUCAUGGUGAGGAGCUUCAUCGCUGCGUUGACACGGCUCGUCGUGCGCCGGUGUGAUGCUGGUCGUGGGCGUUAGUCAAAUGCCACAUUGUCUCGGAGGACCAUCGUGUGGUUGCCACCUAUGUUGUUGGAAGCCAUGCCUGAGAGCACCGCCUUCAGGUCAAAUGCCGGUGUCGAGCAAUGCGUCGUCUCGGUGCAAUGAGACAGGUCAUGGCCGAGGUCCUCAACCAACACCUUGUCGCGUGCUACCGAUGGGAUUGGAGCAUUGGUCUCUUGUGCGAGAAAAACCCGGUAAGGCAUCUCCAAUAUGGACCCUUGAUACGUGUCAAACAUGUAUAUAUAAAUUGUUUCAUGCUAUUAUGAUGUCAUUUUUUAAUAUCUUUUAUAAUAAUGUUUUGAACUAACCUAUCAAUCCAAUGUUCAGAGUCAGUUGUCGUUUUCUACGUUUUUUCCUUUAAAAAUCAAUAUUUGUGGGACUAAACAUAACUUUAGGAUUUACGGGGAUUUUAUAUGAAACCAGAAUAUUCCGAAAAGUGCCGCGAGGGCCACCCCAGGCCCGCACGUGGCCAGGUGGUGCAGCCAGUGGGCCACCCACAUGGCUUGGCUGCAUGGGGCCUUGCUACUGCGCUCAUUUUUCGUCUAAAAUCCUAAAUAUUUUGAAACUUUCGUACUUUUUUUUCUGAAUUUUUUCGUCCCCGCGAGUUCUUAUUCCAUAGAGAUUCAAUCUAAAGGCUUAUUCUAGCACCCCGUCGAAUAUGGAAUCCGUCACCGGGGCUAUCUUCAUCAAAAUUGCUGGUGUGUGAGUACUUUUCAUAGGACCUUACAGUUUAUAACAAUACCAGGUCCACAUGAGCUGGCUCACAUGAUAGUGACCUAUAUGAUGUAAUCGAGGGUUGUAUUUGUUGGGAUAGGAUGAAGUGUAUUUUUAUUAUCAAAUUGUUCAUUGAAUUAUAUUGAAUCUUUUGAAUUUUAUUUGUUUUCUAAUUAAGUAGUCAUGUAUGCUCUGCGGUCUAUUAAUUGUCUUUGUCAAAGAUAUCUACUAUUAAAUCGUGAUGGUUCCACCUCGUACGAUCCCCACCUCCUAUCGCUAGCACUUUCACAGAUUUUUUCCAACCCUCGAUAAACCAGGCGAUUAAAUAAAGAAAACAAACGGUUCAAUAAAAAAAAACCUCUACUUCCCCACCCCGUACCUACGAUUCCAUCCACGAUCUACUGCCAUGCGAGAACCAGGAUCACUACAGUUGGAAAAAAAGAUCAACCCUCACCCCUCGCACGAGAGCCACGAUCGCACUCACCUCUCGCGUGGGAGCCACGAUCGCAAAAUUUGGUCCCCUCCCCUUUCCCUCCCCCCUUCUCCGUUCUUCUCUUGUCCUUCCAGGCUGCAUCAGCCGAUUUACUCACCACCGCCAGGCGCCAGCCUGUAAGGUUUACUAGUCGAAUGCCCGUGCGUUGCCACGUGAUAAAAAUAUAGAUAUGAAACAUUUUUUUAAGUGAACAAUAUUUUUCAAACAAGCUAUCAUGAUUCUAUCUCGUGUCCACUCUUCUCGACAAUAAUUGUGUCUCCAGAAUUAUCCUCUCCUAAAAGAAAACAUUAUUCUUACCGUACUUUCCAUCGAUCUAGAAUUAUCCUCUCCUAGAAAGAAUACGUUCCUCCUCACCCCACUUUCCAUCGAUCUAGAAUUAUCCUCUCCUAGAAAGAAGACAUUAAUCCUCACCCCACUUUCCAUCGAUCUUCAGUCUCGCCAGUUUGUUUAAACCUUCUAUUCAAAAUUGUAUACUUGUACCCAUUUUUUAUUGAAUGAAAUAAUUCUUUUUGUCUUGUCUUUUGGCAUUGGUCAGUUGAACAUUCUUUGAGUAUUUUAUUAGUAGUCUUAUCUUCAUCUACUUGCCCUAGCAUUGUUGGUUACUUUUUGUGUACUACAUAGCAAAUGGAUGAAACAGACCGCGAGACACGAUAACCCAUUGUAUGUAUGAUUUAAAAAUGACAUGGUUGUAAACCACAUAUUACAAAUAAAGAUAAGAUGCAUUCCAUAAAAAUGCUACCUUUCAACAUGUCCACUGUCCAUAGAAAACACAUAAUAAUCACAUAAUACAGCUUGAUCAAAAUUCAGGAAACAUUGAUAGAAAAUUACAGGCAAAAACAUGACACACCGUUUUUAAAAUAAGUGAAAUACUCAAAAGAAUUAGUGAACUGCACCGGAAACAAAUUAAGUGGUACUACAACAACAUUCACCAUGAUUAUUUAUUGUGCUAGUAAGUAAAACAGGUGCAAGUUUUUUCUUCAUGUGAGAGAAAAAGGCAUAUUACAAAAAGGUUGUCUCAUGCAUACAACACAUAGCCAAAGUAAAAAUACACAUGAAAAAACCCAGCACACAUGACAUUAUUGCAUAGAGUUACUCAAAAAAUAUCCUCGCAUAUCAUGAAUUAUACAUUGCUUGGCUAAAAGAACUUAGACAUAAACUACGGAGCUACCUCCCACACAUCCCAUCUAGUGCAUCAAACACUCAUGAAGCAUGGUACCUCCAGACACACUGCCAAAAUGUUGGCUUGUUACUCACACUUUGUUCCUCCCAUGACCUCCAUGCAACCCUCCAAUAAUCCCUUUGUGUGUUGUGUGCUUCAACUCUCAACUUAAUUUGGCGUUUCUUUGUCUUUCCAACAAACUUGCAUUUGGUAGUGAAGCUGCGAGCGUGAGUACUUGUCCCCUAGCUGUAAUAUUUUGCGAUAAAUUAAGAAAAAGUAAGUGAAGAUCAUAACGAUACACCAUAUUUUUAAGAGCAAAUGAUUUGUCCUGAAAGUAAUAUUUGUACAUGAAUCGGGUUCGCAUUUUAGUUUUUAAUUAAUAGGCCUAUCUUGAUAAAAAAUCAUGGGCACACAAUUCAACAGGGACAUAAGAAGCAAGCGCGAUUGCUCAUAUUAAAGAAAUGUCUCUUAAAAAAUAUAAUUUCACUUUGGCUUAGACACACCAGACAAAGAUAGUUCAAGAUGGAACAAUGUAAAGAACCGAGAGUAAUAAAUGUUCAGUAGACCUAGAAAGAGUGGUUGCCAAGAAAGCCUAGUAAUAAAACUAUUAAUUAGUCAUUCCAUGUUGUAGCACAUAAGAAAUUUAAUUCCGUCCAACAUGUAGCACAAAGACUAAGUACUCUUAUAGAAACAUAUACGUCAAAUAAAUAUAGUGGUAAGGCUCAACGAAAAUAAUGACAUGCCCGCAAGAGAGCUUCAGCCUCAAGAAACGAUACUGACCUUAAUCAACACCGUAGAAACAAUAUUAUUAUUAUGUUUUCUGCAACAUGGUACACUAUGUAAAAGAGAGCCAAUUAAGUGAAAGAUAAUCAAUUAUCAAAAAGUAGUGUUAUCUCAACAUGAUAGUCACCCUACAUGCAUCUAAUUUUGUUUUAGAAAACCGAAACCUGACCAUUUGACCAUCUCUCCAAAACCUCCAAGUUAUGGUCUUGGUGCAAAGGUGCUAGCUAGAUAGUGUCUUUUUAUCAAAAGAUGGAAUCAAAUGCAUUAAACACUUAAACUAUAAUAACUGAAUGUCGCCUCGUUCGGCUCUUGACUUGCUAAAAUUAUGUUAUGCACAAAAUGGUGAGCCUAAAAACCAACCUUCAAAUUCAUCCAACUUCAUAAGCAAAGCUUAAUUCCUCCUACCUCUAAACACAACAACAAAUCAUUUUUUUGAACUGAAAAGGAUGAACAAAUUGACAAAUUUACCACAAUACUAAUGCAUUAAGAUAAAUACCAACCACAUAUAUCGAUUGCCGAAGUAGCCAUCGAUGACAUCGAGCUUCGAGAUCAAGUGGUUCUAACUGCUGGUCAGAAGCAUGGUCAGUCAAUGAAUGCAAACUAAGGUCCUUAUUUAAUCUAAGAUCUAAUACCACAAAUGUUCCACAUAGGCGGUGCAUUUGUUUCUCCUGAUCUGUGUGUUGCAUAAAAUUGCUUUCAUGAUAGCUGGAGGAGACAACGCAUGAUACAACGAUGACUCAUGGUAAUAUGCAGGAGACUGUGGCGCCGAGACCACCGGAGGAGUGGGGCGGUAGCAUCGAUCACAUUCCUGCUAGGAGUGUGUUGGUGCCAAAUAUUAGAGAGAUGACUCAUAAAAAAAUAAAAGUGCCGAAUUAUUUUCAGAAUACACGGAAUUACCAUACAUUAAAAUUCAAAUGACCUUACAACAUGAACCUCAAAGAGCCUUGGCGUUCAUGACAGCCUUGAGAAUUUUCUUUUCUGUUUUAUGUUCAGCAACUCAGAUUAGAAUUCAACUUGCAGAAGAGCUAUGUGUGCUCCACCUUACUUUGUUCUUUCAGCUUCUCCUUGUCCGUCCAUCUCUCUAGCUUCUCCACUCUUUCAUUCAUCUGCACAUCAUCACAUAUGAUUUAUAGGCAUAUUUUCAUACUGUGUAGAUCUCCUCUAGCUUUACAUGCAUACACGCCUAAUGCAAAUCUCAAAAAAUGCAAGGAAACGAUCGAGGGAGAGGUUAAAUUAUGGGGGCCUGGCGGAAUCGAGCUCGAAGGCUCUGCAACCUUGGUCUAUGCAAACAUGAUCAUCAGAAGUAUUAAAAGCCAAAUCUCACUGUUUCCUUGUCGACUUCACCAUAGUCCAUUUCAAGCCAUGUGUAUUUCUUUGCAUAACACUCGAAAUUUUUGCGGUUGGACCAACUGUUCUUAGUUUUGUCCUCAAACUUUCCUUCGAACUCAUAUAUUGCUUCGUCUCCUGUUGAACAGGGAUGUAGCUUUUGUUGACCUCGUGCCCCUACUCUCCCCCAUCUAUUGAGAACCAUCAAGCUUCCACCAGCAUCAGAUUCUAUAGUUAACAAACACUAAUUAAUUUUCUAUUGUAUGUUACCCAUCAUUCAUAGAUUCCUGGUGCUGGUGCUAGUAAGCAACAGUGACUUGUAGUUGCAGGACGAACCUAAAGCUUGAGUGAUAUAAAACUUAUUAUUGUUGUCUCCAACAUUAGUCUGGUUCAAGGUGGCAUCAUAAAUCUCAUCACCCUGCAAUAAAAUAUGUAUAACGAAGAUGUGAAAAAAAUAGUAGAAAGAACAGAUAAUUGUUCAAGGUAGCUACUGUACAUACUGAAUACUAAUAUGAAUGCUUUGUAGCUACUGUGCACAAUGAAUACUAAGACGAUACAUGAAGGAUGCCAUUCAAUUUUUUUGUCGGUCUAUUCUCUUAACACAUGGUAUAUUAGGCCUGCUAAGCUGGUAUAUUUGGGUGACGCCAUAGUCUAUCACAUCUAUGAAUAUUUAUAGCCAAAGUGACAACCAGAACAUGAUGUAAUGCAUUAGAUACCAUAUGAAUGAGAAUAUUAAAUUUGGUUAGAGGAAUUGUUUAAGUUUGACAUUCAUGGAGAGAUCAUCUUUUGCUCUGAACUGCACAGGAAGUAGGUGUUCAGUGAGCCAUGGUUUCAAUUGAAGUGCACACAUACACGGUACAAUAUGGGUAAGAAAAAAAAACAAUAAUGAACUCACGCACCACUUGCAAUACAUGAUAGGUCAUUUUUAUAUCAUCAGGGAUGUGCUCAUCCAGCACUGCAUCACCUUUCUUCGUAACUUUGACAAUCUUCUCCUUUUUCACCUCCUCUUCAACCUCCCCAACACCACGUGCACCAACAAAAUACAUAAACGACCAUGCCAAAAAACUGUUGCACGAGUAAAGUUCAAACCUCACCCUCUGAUGACCAAUACAAGAAAUUAAUAGAUCAACAAACCUUUUGCAAGUUUCUUCUUGUCCUGGAAACCACCAUCAGCAACUGCUGCAGAAUUAGCAGGGGUUAAUAGCAACCCCUCAAUAACAUUCUUCUUGAUCCCAUUUGACGCGAGUCCUCGUGCCUUGGCCAAAUCUUGCAGCUCCCGGUAGCUCAUGCACUGUAACUGUACCGCAUCCAGCAUCACAUCUGUGACUAUAUUUUCCUUUUUCAACUCCUCAACCUUCCCAUCAUCAUCUGCACCAAUACACAGUGAACAGUUAAUACUCAUGUAAAGUUCAGAUCCUACCACUCAAUAACCAACAUAAGGAAAUUAAUAGACAAAUAAACCUUCUGCUACUUCCUUCUUGUCCUGAAUACCACAAUCCACAACAGAAGUAGCAGGGCUGGAGAGCAACCUCUGUAGAACAUCCUUCUUGCCCCCAUUAGCAUUGAGCCCACGUGCCCUGGCCAAAGCCUGCAUCUCACGACAUGUCAUUUUCCUCCUCGAUUUCACCGUCACCACGUCAUUUCCUCUUCCUUUUUCUCUUUCCUUCUGCUUUGCCAUCAAUGACCACACCGCCUAUGCCAUCUACAUUACACAUCUCAGCUGCAGAAGCCGCCUCCUUCUCUUCCUUACGGAUUGCAGCGUCCAGCCUUAGCACCUGGUGGAAAGGGCAUUGCAGGAAGUAAGUCACAAGGACAAUCCCCAAAUGUGCCAAUAUUGAAAGCGUAAAGAUACACAUCACAGUCGCACCUAGAUGACGUAAACAGACAGAGGGAAAAAUGCAAGUAUAGACAGGAGAGAAAUUCAGAAGGGGAAAAUUCAGAUAGCAUUGCUGAUCAUGUCCGUGACCGUGCUACUGCUGCUGUCUGAGGCAAAAUUCAAAGAAAAGGAGCGCAAAUACCCUGUGGCCCCUUCUCGAACGAGAAGCGCACGAUUGCUGGAGCACUCGGAGCAUAGCUGCAACAGAGCCACCACAGCGAACUCCUUCUCCCUCGCCGGGCCGUCCUCGAUGGUCUCAACCAGUGCGGGUAUCCUACCGGCUUCCACCACAGCAUCACGGCCAUCGGCUAUGCUCGCGAGGCUGGCAAGAACCACCAUUGCCUUCUCCGACGUCCCGGUGCCGCGCUCGCCGAUGAGGUGCACGAGCGGCACGACGGCUCCCGCGCUAACAGCUCGUUCUUUGUUCCGGCGCGCCGAGCAGAGACGGUAGAGCGUGGCAACCACGGAACGCAGCUUGGGCCUUGACGGCUGCUUGUUCUUCCUUCAACAUCUCCGGAUCAUUGGACAGCACAUCAGACCCGCCAGUGCUCUGCUUAUCCAAAUCAUGGUUCACUUCGUGCUGCACAACCGCCUUGCCUUGCGAGCUGGAAUUCUCGCCCUUCCCAACCUCCGGCACGGCGUCAUUGUUGCGUGGGGUAAGGAGCACCAGCUCGGAGAUCACCGGGGAACUCUCCGAGAACCCCGGCUCCUUUGUGACAGCCACAUACCCUCUGUUGCUCCCGGCCUUCUACACAUGGAAAACAACAAAAGCAUCAGUUGCAGCCAGCAGAUCUCUGCUCUCUAGUUGCAGUCACAUAGCAGGCAAUUCCGUGGAAUCCUCCGAAAAAAUCAAUUUUGACCUCCAGGUAUUGACAUACCGAUAAAUCCUUGGCCUUGGCGGAGGUAGACCUGGAGGUCUUCUUCCCGAAGAGCACGGACUUGAGCCACUUGGCUGGGGACUUCCCCAUCGGAACCGCCUCCUAGCCCGCCGCGCGCCGGAGACUUGGUGAGCCGCCGGGCCACGAGAUCUGCGCCCGCGCCCGCGCAUCCCUCCGCCAAUCCCUUCCGCCUCGAUUCCGGUUUCUUGCUCCUCGAUGGAAGAUCGUGGGCAGAAGACAGUGGAGAUCGUGGGUGCUUCACGAGAUGGAGGGGAUCAGGAUCGAGGUAAUUGGGAAAGCUAUCGAAGGAGGUUGAACCACAUCGUGCUCGCGCGUGCGGGAUGGAUUGGUUUUUUUUACCGCACGAUCGAGGGGUGCGAGGAGAGUCAAACCGGUUUAAUUGUCGUUGGUUUUUGGAGGGUAUUGAAAAAACCAGUAGGGCGACGGGAGUGGGAGGAGGGAUCGUGAGGUGGGAUUAGCUGGGAGGUUGAACCAUCACGACGGCACAUCCUGCUUUAAUAAUAGAGACUUGUAGAGGGGUCGCGCAGAUGGGUUAUCACGUCCGCUGCCGAUCAGAUUUCCCCACCCCAGCCUGGCGCCGCCACCCCCAACCAUGUCCAUGCAAGGCGGUCGAGGUUCUGCGCCUGCCAUGCACUGCUAACGGCGUUGACCUUGGUAGUACUGGCGGUGUCCAGCACGCUCGUCAUGGCCAAGCCGCCAAGGUGGACAUGGCUUCAAUGCUGGUGCUGGCGAAGAUUGCGAGCGGCAGGGGGAGGGAGGCGGGCGAUAUUGGCCGUGUGCUACUGGUGGACUGGUGGUGGCUAGCAGCCUAGCACACUCCUUGGGCCCAAGGUGCACAGGACUUCAAUCAAUGUUGGCUCUGUUGGAAACGGCGAGUAGAAGGACGAGGGAGGGAGGCAGGUGUGUCAGAGAUGACGUUGGUUUCCUCCAUAAAAUCGUUCUCCAUCGGUCCAUCAUAUAUUCAUUGGCGUGGGUGAGUUUGCUCCAAUAUCAGUUCUGCAUAUAGUUUGGUAUAAGUUUUUCUCUUCCCCUCUCCGCAUUGGCCUCUGUGCAGCUAUGGAUAGGUGGGUCCAGAGGGGGCGAUGGAGGUGUACUGCUGUAGCUUUUGUUCUUGCCGGAAUUGUGCUUCACUUACAGGUGAAGCUCUCGAUUUGUUCCGGUGUAUUAAUUUCCACAUGCGUACAAGUGUUUGAUCCGUUAGUUUUCUCUCUACUUUUCUCUGAGUCUCUGAGUGUUCCAGAAUUUUUGUGACCCAGAUGGUUCACCUAUUUUUCUUUUGGAUUUGUUUGUCAGUUCUGCAUUGUAUAACUGCUGCUCUUUUGAAUGUAUCUUAUGAUGAGUUUGUAUUGACGUAGUUGGUUGAACCAUUGGUUGCUAAAUUCGGCACCAGUUCCUGUCAAACCUGUUUUAAAUCAGGUGGAGUGUAAUGUAGAAGGAUGCAUGCCGAUCAAGUUUUCUCUUUGAUAUGUGUUCUGUAUAUGCAGAAGAUGCUGUUGUUCGCAGUUCUGAUUGAUGUUUUGUUGGAUGGUGGUUAGAGUCGACGAAUCUGCAUGCUGAUGUUUUGUUCGCCGCUCUGAUUGACCGUCCGGAUGCUGUCAGCAUGUUGCAAUCGCUGAACCCAAUCCAAGAAAGGUUUGUGACUUUCACGUGGACAUAGCCGCAAGACGUUCUAGGAGAGCCUGCAGGGCCGCGCGUGACGACGGCCGCGUGUUCUCUGGUGAUGGGGACGAUUCUCAACUAGCUUAGUGCAACAACCUGCUUAUCAUGUAGCUUGCACUAACAUGUUACAGUCCCCAUAACCAUCACUAAGAUGCAGGGUUCGUAUGUAAGUCAACUAAUAAAGUUCAUAACCGUAAACCCUUUCAACAUGUUUAAGUUAGCCUUUUAUAAUUACUGCUUGAUUUUUGUUUUUUGCUACUCCUAACUGAGAGCUCAUGCAUCGGGUGAAAUCAGUUACCAUUGCUAAAUUUACUACACAAGUAGUUAUUACUGCUCUACAAGGAAGGAAAAUUAGGUAUUUCAUGUUCUUAUAAUUCUGAAUUUUCCACCUGUCCAUGUAUUUGUGUCUAACUUCACAUGGGUUUUGCAUAACUUGUAGUGUGCUACGGAAAUAUUUCCUAGUAUGGAUCCUCAACAUGUCACAUUUCUUUGUUCGGUUUCAAGGCCGAAAUCAUGCUUUCUAUGGUGCUUUUGUGUAGAAGAAAGUCGAUGCCCAUUUGGGUUUAUUUGCAUGUCUAGGUAUGCAGAGGAAGAACUCAACAAUCACACAUGCAAGCUCACAUUGAUCAAUUAUUAAGGUUAGUUUUUCUAUUGCAUUACUAAUUGCUAAAUAUUUAUGCAGAGGCCUAUCACUUUUUUAUACACGACUUCACGCUUUGAAUUUAUGGGUGACAAUGCUCGCCCAUCUCCCCCUGUAUCUACAUAUUGCCAUUGCUACAUUAUGUGGUGCACGCAGUUUGAAUUUACUCCCUCCAUUCCUAAAUAUAACUCUUUUUAAAGAUUUUACUAACGACUACAUAUGUAGCAAAAUGAGUGGAUUUACACUUUAAAAUAUUUUUAUGUACAUCAAUAUAUAGUUUAUAGUGAAAUCUCUAAAAAGGUUUAUAUUUGAAAAAGUGGAAGUGCUUUUCAUACGCACACAUAAAUUACUAAUGCUAUAAUUUUUUGUUUUUUCUUGUGAUGUACAUGCCCAUACUACAUGCCUUGAGGCAUCAUCAUACCCUCAUUAAUAUGCAUAAUUUUUUCUUCUUCAAAUUUUGGUUCUUUUUCGCUUAUAAUCUGUUUUUUUCCGGUGUAUAUGUUAGAUUUUAGGAAAAGAUCAUCUGACCGGUUUCUUCCCCAUGCAGGUUGAACACUUAGGUUCCCACUGCAAGGUGAUUAGGGUUUCGGGUUGAUAGUAGUUCUUCAAAAGAAAUUGUGCAUGGUAGUGGUCCAGUCUUACGAUUAUUCAUUCGAGUGGCGUAAAGGUGUCCACUAGAGAUGCCAUUAUUGACCCAUUCUACAAUGUUAGGUUUGGACGAGAGCCGGAUCGAGACCAGGCAAUUGUUUGACAGUGACUGGCGCUUGUUCGACGUUCUAGACGAAAGGUACUAUUCCUUCCUAUGAUCGCUGUGUAUUAAUGGAUCUGGACCAUUCGAUCAGCUGUAUGAAGGGUUGAUAGUAAGUAGUCCCUACCAUAUGAAAGACCUCAAAAACGAAUUGUUUGGGUCCUCACCGCUCUUACCGCCCCGAUACUGAUUGCACAAGAAUUCAGGACCAAGGAAAUUGGUUGCAAUAUACCAUCCGUACAGAAUUACAUGCCAUGAAAACAAAUAAAAUUAAAUGUAUCUAAAAUUAAAAUAGAUUUAGAUAUAUCCAUACCUCUGACAAGUAUUUUUAGAUGGAGGGAAUAUCUCUCUCUGAAUAAUCAACCCAAUACCACUAGACCUUCCCCGACACUGACGGAACCUUUGACAGGAAAUCUCUCGAUCAGAGCGUACAAUGGUCCCGCACUGACUGCUCGAGGCAUUUGAGCCAAGGAAAGCAUAUGUUAUCUCUGGGGAUAAGGCCAUCGCCAGCCAUUCAGUACACUUGCUGUACAAUACACUCCCUAAUCUACUUUUGCACAUCCUGCUACGCACAAUCUGCCCAGAUUGGAGACAUCUCCCAUAUUUUGCUCCGGAAGGAAGAGUCUCCAGGGACCUGUGUGGGAUGCUGAUGAAGCUCAGCUACUCCACCUGAUCAGCACAGGUGCUUUCUUUGUUAUCCUCUUGUCUGCCCCUUCUCAUCAUGUGCCUUUUCUUUUUCUUUAAACCUUCUUUCAACAUCUGAGAACUAUUGGAUCCGAUUUGGGCCACCGAGCAUCUCGGCUCUGCAAGGCUUGUUGAGACCGAACCUGUAAAUUUACCAUAUGAUUUUAUUAACAGAAACAAUAGGUAAACCAUGACUAUCAUAGCAGAUAUAAGACAAGUCAUGCAAUCUGACAGAAAGUAUGCAAAUAACAUCUGAAAUAAUGAAUAUGAACGAAACAUAUCUAGAGUAAAAGCUAGAACAAGAAAUUGUGGUGUAAUCUCAAACAGAAAGAACACAAACACAUACUAAGUCGCAGCAGUAGCAUUGGGGUUGGCGUUGCCGUCAAAGAGGUUGUUGACAUCGGGGAAAAAGUCGUCGUUUGGGAAAUGAUCGUUGGUGUCUCUGAUGUCCUUGAUGAAGAAGUUAGCAGUCACGCAGAGCGCUCCUCAAAAACCUUAUCAUCCUUCUCCCGUACAGGACUCGAAGUGGCAGAGUUCAGAGGCCUACUAUCCCGACCAGCGAUGCACGCCACCAAUUGGGAUGGGGAAGAACAUAGCAGCUUAGAGUUUAGAACUCGGUGGUGUGUGGAAGAUGAUGUUUUGAUAUGCCUCUCUGAAGAGGAGCAACCUUUUUUUUAGCCACAGGAGAAGGAGGCCAAUAGGCCGCGAUAGUAGGUGAAACAAAAAAGGGUGACGAAAUGAACAUGCAACAGUCAAAGGGUGCAGCUUUUGUAUUCAAUCUCCACUACAACAAAACCUUGAGCUCCCUGUGUGACCUUUUGUAUACCAAUCAUGCGUGGUAUAAAUUUAGACAAUGGCUCGGAUCAUUCUCGCAACCUGUUGCGCGUCGUGACGAGGGGUGGCAUGUCGAGGCGGGGGGCAGAGUAGGAGCGCACAUGAAUGUCUCUCUUGUUCUCAUUCUCAUACAUAUGGAGAAACAACCUCCCUUAUAAGGAGGUCUAACUCCUACUAGGUGAGCAGUACGUAUGAGACUAAACUUUAGUCCCACCUCUUGCCUUGCAUGAAUGGGCUAAGUGGGCCUCUAGGAUUUAUUAAGAAUUCUUAAAAUGUUGUUGGGCUGGUUUAAAAAUAGACUAAAUUUCAGCAAUCCCCCACCAGAUCCCAGAGGGACAUAAAAUUUGCCUUUGUUUACAAAGUACUACUUAUAUACGAGUACUGUAGUGCAGACUGUUAAGUUGAAUUUACACUAGAACUCUAGAACUCUAUGCUACACUGGUAAGCAAUUUGAGUAGUUGACUAGGCCUUGAACUGCAAGUUUUCUAUGAAUCUAGUUUCACACAAAACCUUGACCGAUACUAGGCUACCUUGGGACUUCCCCAUUGGUGGAGCUCAUGCAUCAUAGUGAGGCCUUUCACGAGUUUGCUAGAGUGCACCCUACUCUCAUAGAUUGCAACGUUUAACAAUCAAACCCAUAUAGGUGUUUCCUUCAAAAGAUGUUUUGCAGGACAACAUCUAUGCUUAAAUAAGCCACUUAGAACACAUUAAGAUAUAUAUCAACCUGCCAUGCACAUUAGGAGAGUAUUGAUCUUCAUGGAGUGGUAUUAUUGAUAAUAAGGAUACUCUUCUCUCAGUUGACCAGCAACUUGUCUACCAUGGGAUUUCCGAUCACAUAGAGUAGGUUGGCAUUGUGAACAACUCAUAUUGUAGGUAUCAAACCCAUCUCCUCCGAUGCAUUAUCUAUCACAUUACGUGAUAUUAGUAAAAGGAUCUGCCAGAGUUUUAUACGUUUGGAUAUAAUCCAAUGCGAUAACUCUGGAGUUCCUUAUUUUCCUGACAGAUUUUAACCUUCUCUGAACAUGUAUUGAUGACUUCAUGUUAUCCUUUGAACUACUCACUUUGAUCACAGUUUGAUUGUAUUAAUUCAUAAGGAUACUCGAUAUAGGUUUGUUAACAACUGGCAAGUCAUUCAAGAGCCGACGAAGCCAAUCUGCUUCGGCCGUAGCUGUAUAUAUGAUGUUAGUUCUCCUUCCAUUGUUGACCUCGUUAAGAUGGUAUGCUUGCAAGACUUCCACUAAACAAUGUCACCUCCAUGAGUGAACACAUAUCCGCUCGUGGACUUUAUCUCAUCAGCAUGAAAGAUCCAAUUCGAGUCACUAUACCCUUCAAAUACUUUUGGGUACACAGUUAGUGAAUUCCAUAACUCGUAGUGCCUUUCCAAUAACGCAAUAACGCAUAACUCCCUCUGUAGCUUUCCAAUGAAUAUCUCCUAGUUUUGAGACAAACCGACUCAAUUUUUUAAUGGCAAAAGAGAUGUCAGGUCUCGUAUCAAGAAUCUAUGACCAAUGCUAUGAAAAGCAUAGCCCAGAAAAACACAAUCCACAGUUUUUGGCCCAAGCUUGCGCUUCUUUGGACUUGGCUCAUCGGCUUUUGCCAAGAAGCCCCAAAUUCGGAGGUAAGACAGUUUUAAUCUUUUCUUCUCCCAUUUGUCGAAUGGAGUUAUCUCUUUGUUCUUUGUAGGAACUCGAUUCAGGACAUGACAUGCAGUCAAUUUCGUCUGCCCCCACCAUGCCUUGGAGAGACCCGAUGUGUCUAACAUGGCGUGAACCAAACCAGUUGGAGCACUGUUCUUUCUUUCGGCUAUCCCAUUUGACUGAGGUGAACAGGGAGGCAUCCUCUCAUGGAUUAUACCAUGUUCCACACAAAGAGAAUCAAAUUCAUUAAAAAAUACUCUCCACCACGAUCGGACCAAGCCUCGUGAUUUUCCAAUCAAGUUGGUCCUCCACUUCAACUUUAUAUUUCUUGAAAAAGUUCAAAGCCUCAUCUUUUGAUUUCAAAAGCUACACAUGGCAAUAUCUAGUGAAGUCAUGAAUUAACAUCGUAAAAUAUUUAUUUACACCUUUUAUCAAAACACUAUUCAUUUCACAAAGAUCUGAAUGUAUGAGUUCUAGUGACGCAAGAUUUCUUGUUACCGCAGUUGUAUGAGACUUACGAGGUUUCUUGGCUUGCACACAAACUGACACUUAGAUCCCUUAACAACGGUGAAAUUAGGGAGUAAGUUCAACUUGGCUAGCCACGUAAUGCAACCAAAGUUAACAUGGCAGAGUCGUGAAUGCGAGACAUUUGAUUCACUAUUGUUGCAAACAUGAUUAACAACUUUAUUGUAAACAUCUGACAAGGAUAAGAGAAACACGUCUCCUGAUUCAUAGCCUUUACCAAAAAAAGUUUCGUACUUAGAUAUUAGAAAUUUAUUGAACUCAAAGANNNNNNNNNNNNNNNNNNNNNNNNNNNNNNNNNNNNNNNNNNNNNNNNNNNNNNNNNNNNNNNNNNNNNNNNNNNNNNNNNNNNNNNNNNNNNNNNNNNNCCCCCCCCUCCUUCAUCAUCGUCUCCGGCGAGGCGUCCCCGACGCUAGUCACCAGCCUCCCAGGCUUCGACGGCGCCCUCCCGUUCCGCCUCGAGACCGGGUACCACCGUACCAGGGCACCAAUUCUUGGGUCCAUUGAAACCGCACCAAUUUACCUGCAGCCAGCUACGUACCUAGCUAACAAUAACAUGCUGCCAUUUCUUGUCGAUCGUCGGCAGAUACGUGACGGUGGACGAGGAGCACGGCUCGGAGCUCUUCUACUACUUCAUCGAGUCGGAGGGCGACCCGCGGCGCGACCCGGUCCUCCUCUGGCUCACCGGUGGCGACCGCUGCAGCGUGCUCAGCGCCCUGCUCUUUGAGAUGGGCCCUCUGAGGUUCGUGAUCGAGCCCUACGAUGCCGGAGCCGGGACCGUGCCACGGCUGCAGUACCACCCCUACUCCUGGACCAAGGCCGCCAGCGUCCUGUUCGUCGACUCGCCCGUCGGCGCCGGCUUCUCCUUCUCCCGGGACCCCAGAGGGUACGACGUCGGAGACGUCUCUUCUUCGCUGCAGCUCAAAUUGUUCCUCACCAAGGUACCGUAGUAUCUAAUUCAGCUAAGCUUCAUAAUUCCUAGCGUCCAUUUGCAACGUCAGGCUGUCUGGUAAAGCUUCUGGUUGGUUAACUGGUUAAUCAGUUGCUAAAUUUGUACGUUCUUCAUCUUUGGAUCAGUGGUUCACUGGGCAUCCCGAUUUCCUCUCAAAUCACUUCUAUGUCGGGGGAGACUCGUACGCCGGAAAGAUGGUACCAAUAGUCACGCAGAAGAUCUCAGAAGGUGCUACAUUAUUACUACCAUAUAUUUUUGCACAUUCUCUUGAAACAAAGUUCAAGGUGCUUAGUUUGGAAAGGUGGAUGGUCUAUCCAUCAUAAUUCAUACCUCAGCAAUAUGCAUGUCUUUUUUCAGAUAUUGAAGCGGGACUGAAGCCCACAAUUAAUCUCAAGGUAAGUACUCUAAAAUUCAUUCACACACUAUAAACAUAUAUAACAAUUGUGGUACUACUGAUGUUAAAUGCCAAAAAUNACAAUUAUAUUAGUCAGAUCACAGUUUCUGUUUUAAUGGAAAAAUUGUUCAGGGCUAUCUCGUAGGCAACCCGGUUACCGGUGAGGCCAUCGAUUUCGAUUCUAGAGUGCCAUAUCUUCAUGGAGUAGGAGUCAUUUCCGAUCAGUUGUACGAGGUACUUAGCUACACACAAGCUAGCUCCCAACUCUUGCUCAAUCACCUAGGCGUUCACCUGUAGUUAACUACUGAUACAAAGCUUAGAUUAAUUAUUUCGCAUAUGAGGUUAAUCAAUUAGUUAAUUCAGUUUCCAUGUGCUUGCAUGUGAUCAAUCGAUCUGACAUAAGACAAUAAUGGAGCACUGCCAUGGGGAACCUUAUGACAACCCCAAGAAUGUGAUCUGUGCUGAAGCUAUGGACAGGUUCAAGGCGGUAAGAAUACAAGUCACUCAAAUUGCGAUUAACAGCUGCUCAAGUCUACUUGGAAACCUAUAUCGGGGGGGGGGCAAUUCUUAUUAAGUGGAUAUCUUUACACAACUCUAUUUUAUAUGUGUGUAUUUAAAUAAGAAAGAAAAACAAUGGAAUUUGCAAAGAACCAUGUUCAAGAAUUCGUUCGACUAACCAGUUGACUUGUCGAUUAAUCCAUACUCGUUGGGUUAUCGAGUAGACGAUCAACUGAUAAUUUAUCUGAUUAAUUGAAUAAUUGUCCGAUUAACACCCUACUCGCCAACCAACCGAGUAGCUACUAGUUAACGAUUUCCUCAACAAUGGCAAAGAAGAUGAACCUUCGAUCAUGUAUAUCUCCAUCUAGAUUCCUCUUUUUUCAAAGAAUUCUUAUGUCUAAUAUAUCGUGAUCUAGUAUCUUUGUUGGUCUGUUAAAAAGUCUAUGUUUCAAGAGUAUGCGUACAUACGACUUUCAUCCUGAUAUGUCACCAUCCUAAUAUAUCAUAACUAUGUUUGAUUACACAAGACUUCCAUCCUAAUCUAUCAUUGUCCUAAUCUAUCAUAACUAUCUUUCUUACAUACGACUUCCAUCCUAAUCUAUCAAAGCUGCCCAUGUGCAUGUUUUUGGCCGCCAAAUUCGUACUCAUGUAUAUAUUAUAAACACAGAUUGAUGAGUUCCCACAAUUAUUUUUUGAGUUAAUUACACCACUCGUGCUAACACUUAGAUAGAAAUGUCAACUCCUAUAGUCGCGGCAGCACAAUGCCAGACACUCCAAUCGCCAGCCUCUAAUGCCCAGUAGAAUUAGCAACACUUAUAUUUUUUUUGAGUGCUAGCAAAACUUAAUGAAUACAUCCGAGACGCUCGCUGGGCUUAACCGGGCUGCACUUAGUGCCGCCCAUGUUUUGGGCGUUAGUUUUUUAAAGAAUAUUUGUAAAACAUAUGUAAGGAAUAAAAACAAUUUCCAUAUAUGUGUGGGUUAUGAAUAUUAUACAUACAAACAUUGGUUAAUUAUAGUUUACACAAACAUUUAAAUAUACACUUGUAGAUAAUAAUAAUAUUAUAAUUUGUUUAGUCAAUACAAAUAUUGAAAUUAUUUAAUGAAAACUAAAAAAAACACUCAUGGCUCAUAUUUAACUUAUUCAAAAUAUUGAAUACAAACAUUUGCCAAAAAUGUAUGAACAUACACUAGUGUAUAAGUUUCACUCGUGAUUAUGUUCAAAAAAAUAUUUAAUUUAAAUAUUAGCCAUGCUACAAUAUAAAUAUCAACUUUUAAAUUUAAAUUAUGAAUAUUUUAAAAUCAGACAAAUAAUCUCUGAAAAAUUAUGUCUAUUUUUAAAGGUUGCUAUACAAAAAAAAGGCAUUAAAAUUUACAAUAUUUAAAUUAUACAUAUAAUUUUCAUAAUUUCUAUACAUUAUUUUGAAUAUAUGAAUAUGUUUGAAACAAUGCAUGGACAUUUUUAAAUAAAUUAUACGAGUGUAUAGUUUUUUAUUGAUUACAAUUUAUCUUCAUUAGUAUGUAUAAUAUUUAUAGCACAUGAAUGUCAGGAAUUUAUUUUUAUUAUUUAAUUUUUUGAAAUAUUUUUUAUUUUACAUACGUAUUAUUUAAAAGUUAUGUAUAUACUUAUAAAAGUAAUCUGUAUUUUUGCGGAAAUCCAUUUUGGCUCUAGGGAGCACAUGUCAAAAAAAUGAAAACAAUUUGAUGUGUUCAUUAUCACACCCAAAUGGUUCGUAUAGCCAGCAAUCCGCGUCCGUAUUUUUAUUCCUUACAUACAUUUACAACUUUUUUAAAUUAACAUGUGCAAAAUGGGCCGCACUUAUUCAUUAAGAUUUCCUAGUGAAACUAAAAAUUGGGGGCUGCUGGUUGUAGGGGUUAGCAUCUUCUGCCCGCGACCCAUUGGUCUUGAGUUUGAAUCCCACAAGUAACAUUUUUGGCCACGUCCCGCGCCACGGUGGCAUACUUUAUCAACAUCGUUUUUGUACCCGAAGACAAUCUGCACUGUACAUGCACGUCCGAGCCAAGUUUUGACAUCCGCUCAAUGUAUAUCUCAAGUUUUAGCACUAACGUGACUUUUCCAGCCAAGUUUUAACACCGGUAGUGUACAAUUUUCUUUUGCGAGGGUAAAGAGUUUUAUUCCAUAAUAAUAGGGUUAAAAUCGAGAGACAAAAGUUCAUCAAUGCAUGGUGGUCUACUAUGUAGCUAUACAACAGUCACACUAUCAGUACGACUACACAACGCCAAUCGAUCUGUUACCCUAUUUUGCUCACUUAAUCUUCUGUGAAAUAAACUCUUAGUGUACCAUAAGAUGUUUGAUCUCAGAUACCAAAUGUCCAUAUGCUGGCCGAGACAGGUUGUCACCGGUGGUGUAAUUGACUCUUCUUUUCUGUCACACUAUUAUAGUAGACUGAAUAUAUGCAUGAUUCUGCUUUGAUGUUUCCCUGCAGUUGCUUGAAGAAAUUUAUGACUCCCAAAUUUUGUAUAAAAAGUGCAAUUAUCUGGCUCCCAAACCAAACAACGAGACUACAGAAGGCAGGAUCCUCCAACAAGAAACUGGAGCACUGAAACAUCCACCACCUCGGCCUCCAGUGGAUUGCCAUGUAAGUCCAUCUUUAUUAAUUCGUUUACUGAAUAAGUGAAAUAACGAUGAAUGAAAUGCAAAAAUAAUUUUUUUUAUUUUUNNNNNNNNNNNNNUAUUUAUUUUUUUAGAAAAGGAGGUUAAACCCCAAAAUAAAUUUGGAGGUGCACCUUAUAAAACAUUCAGAACCAAAGAAAAAUAGAUAUUGCAAACGACUACUAAUAACGCGAAGAGGCUGAUCAGAUAUAGGUCUAAUAAAAUGUUGAAAAUAUCCAUGAUUUACUGGACAUGGUAUUUUAUAGAAUUUAUUGUCUGUAAAUUUUGAACCCACAGGAGUAUAUAUUAUCACGUUAUUAGUACGGAUAUCAUAUUAAUAUGUGCACAUAACCAAAUUUAUACUCGGGCAAGUCGAUAGAUUUUUUGUGCAUGCAGCUGAUAUGUUUUUAUGUCGUGAUAUUGGGUGAGUGUGAUAAAGCUCUACUUUACUUUGUUGGUUGGUUCUAACCACCAAACAUCUCGGGACGUAGGUCCAUAUCUUUGACUGAGUAAGACCUAAAUUAGUCCGUUUGUUAUAUAUAAAGAUCUAACAAGGUAUAAAUUUAUGUGCUAGAUGGUUGAGCAGGAAGGACAAAAUGCUUAAUUUCAACCAGCCAUACACCCAAAAUUGUAGUACAAGCCAUACACCCGCUGAACUACCAGAAUCUGACACGCAUAUAAAACAUCACUACACAAUAUUUCAUAUAUAUACCAUGCAUUUCAUGUUGGGGAACAUUGCAUGAGAAACAAAAAAAAUUCUACGCGCACCCAAGAUCUAUCUAUGGAGAUGUAUAGCUACGAGGGGNNNNNNNNNNNNNNNNNNNNNNNNNNNNNNNNNNNNNNNNNNNNNNNNNNNNNNNNNNNNNNNNNNNNNNNNNNNNNNNNNNNNNNNNNNNNNNNNNNNNNNNNNNNNNNNNNNNNNNNNNNNNNNNNNNNNNNNNNNNNNNNNNNNNNNNNNNNNNNNNNNNNNNNNNNNNNNNNNNNNNNNNNNNNNNNNNNNNNNNNNNNNNNNNNNNNNNNNNNNNNNNNNNNNNNNNNNNNNNNNNNNNNNNNNNNNNNNNNNNNNNNNNNNNNNNNNNNNNNNNNNNNNNNNNNNNNNNNNNNNNNNNNNNNNNNNNNNNNNNNNNNNNNNNNNNNNNNNNNNNNNNNNNNNCACGAGAUCGGGGGGUCGCGACUUCCGGUGAAAACCGCGUCGCCUCGGUCAUGGCGGACGAUGGCGGCGUCUAGGACGUCGUUACCAGCCCAUGGCAUCGUUGUUGCAGGUCAUGGCACCACACUCGUGAUGCUCCGAGGGAAACCUUAGAUCCGGAUCUACCGGUCGAAUGAUGAUGGCAUCUUCGANNNNNNNNNNNNNNNNNNNNNNNNNNNNNNNNNNNNNNNNNNNNNNNNNNNNNNNNNNNNNNNNNNNNNNNNNNNNNNNNNNNNNNNNNNNNNNNNNNNNGCGCACUCUCCCUCGGGAGAGGGCGCGCACGGGCAAGAGGACUGAAGGGGGCCACCGCUGCAAGCGAAAAGCAAGUAGACGGAGGCCAGAUCCGCGGCGCAGGACCUCUUGGUCGCCGCUGCCGGCGGCGAGAUCCACAGCNNNNNNNNNNNNNNNNNNNNNNNNNNNNNNNNNNNNNNNNNNNNNNNNNNNNNNNNNNNNNNNNNNNNNNNNNNNNNNNNNNNNNNNNNNNNNNNNNNNNNNNNNNNNNNNNNNNNNNNNNNNNNNNNNNNNNNNNNNNNNNNNNNNNNNNNNNNNNNNNNNNNNNNNNNNNNNNNNNNNNNNNNNNNNNNNNNNNNNNNNNNNNNNNNNNNNNNNNNNNNNNNNNNNNNNNNNNNNNNNNNNNNNNNNNNNNNNNNNNNNNNNNNNNNNNNNNNNNNNNNNNNNNNNNNNNNNNNNNNNNNNNNNNNNNNNNNNNNNNNNNNNNNNNNNNNNNNNNNNNNNNNNNNNNNNNNNNNNNNNNNNNNNNNNNNNNNNNNNNNNNNNNNNNNNNNNNNNNNNNNNNNNNNNNNNNNNNNNNNNNNNNNNNNNNNNNNNNNNNNNNNNNNNNNNNNNNNNNNNNNNNNNNNNNNNNNNNNNNNNNNNNNNNNNNNNNNNNNNNNNNNNNNNNNNNNNNNNNNNNNNNNNNNNNNNNNNNNNNNNNNNNNNNNNNNNNNNNNNNNNNNNNGAAAACAUGUAAAAGAAAAUGUUCAAAUUUUCUGUUAAUUUCGACAAAAUUGUUAUAUUAUUUUUCUGUAAAGAAAAGUAAAAGGAUUUUUGAGAAUAAAAUAGUUUUCUCAGAAAAGGAAAAGUUUAUGAAUUUUUAAUUAUGAUAGAAUAUUUUUCUGUAAUAGUGACAUUAUUUUUCUGCAAAGAAAAAUAAAAAGUUUCUGAAAAUACAAUAUUUUUUCAGAAAAAGAAAAGUUCAUGGAUUUUAUAAAAGUAAUUAUAAAGUUCGUGAAACUUUGAUUUUAAGAGAAUAUUUUUCUGUAAAGGUGCAUGAAUUUUUAUAUUCACGUUUUUCAGCUGCAAAGUAAAAAGGUUUAGUCAUCCAAUUAAAUUGGAACCAACGGGAAAAUUUAAUUGGAAGAACUGUGGGGGGGGGGGGGGGAGCAAAGUUUUUCCCUUGUGGGUGAAGUAAAAUUCAAACAGUUUCCGCUAUGACAAUAGAAUAAUGUUUGUUUUAAAGUUAAAUAUGGUAUUGUUGUUUUCUGACCAACGUUGAUGAUAACAAUACUAUAUUUGUAUGAGCCAUCUUAUGUUCAAAGCUUAAAUCUCUGGUAAAUUUUGUAUCAAAGUGAUCAAUUUUCAGAGCACAAAUAAAGAAAUGCAUGUGGUUAAUGAUGAUGAUGAUUAUUUCUUAGCAAAGUUGUUCAAUAGAAAUACUAUCAUCACAUUGUUUAUGAGUUAUAUGCAUUAUUUCCAUUUCUGCCCAACGGUGAUAUGGAAUUAAUGCAGAAGAAUGAUGUUUUAUUCUAAUUCUGCCACAACGGUGAUUUAGAAUAUUCCNNNNNNNNNNAGUUUUAAAAAGUUUAAUGUGCAUGAUUUUAAUCAGACCAAAGUAGGGUUAUUUUUAUGCUCAUUACCGUUGUUUAUUGGCUAAGUUUUCUCAGACUAAAAGUUAUUCAAGCUUUCACUCAUGAAAGCGAAUGUUUUGGGUACUAGUGACCCGAAAGAUGGAAAAGAAAGGUCAUAACUUGAGGGGAUAAAUUCUCUCUAAAGAAUGGCUUCACAAGAAAAGAACUCUUGGAUAUUAAUUCAAGAAAAGAAGAGAGAUAGAUCAUUGAGAGUCUUGGUUGACGAAUGUCUUUCAUGUACUCUCUAUGAUGAAGUCUCCUUUUUCAGUCAACAUGAUUGAAAUGAAACAAGCAACACGCAUGUUUAAUUUGACCAACGUCGGAUCAAACAUGUGUGUCAAAGAUAAUUCAGAUUUAUUUAUGGAUUUGAUGCAGUCAAAAGAGCCAAUUAUGGCAUUUAUGUCCCUUACGGGGAAUUACCCGCAUGGCGGGAAAAGUCUGGAAAGAAUGCCUGCGUAACCGGGUAAAGUUGACAUUGUAUUAUGUCAACAAUCCGUGUAUGACGGGAGAAAUUUUGGCAAAGGCCUUAUCCUGUAUGACAGGAGAAAGUUAUGAUGACUCAUGUGCGGUUAAUGUGUCCCACUAUGGGAGAAAAGUAUGGAGUAGCUAUUAAGCUUUCCUACUAUCGACCGUACACCUUAUGUGUAAUGGUCAUUAUGCAAUCACUAAAUCCAGAAAGGAUAAAAGUAACAAAAUCCAGAAAGGAUAAAAGUAACAGACGAACCUAAAGACUAGAAUGAUAUGCAAGUGUGACUUGCAAAAGAGACAAUGAUAAAGAACUCUGUUGAGUUUCUGAAAUGAAAUGAGGAAAAAGUACUCCCAUACUAGCUAACUUAUAACUUCAUUUUACAUGAAGUGAUAAGAUGAAUGAGCUAGAUAAUCAAAGUUUCCUCAUUUCACAAGAGCUAUGAAUGGGUUUCGAAAUUGUGGCAGAAAAGUUCUUGCCACAUUUCGAGGGGGAGAAAGAGACAUGAAAUACAUUGUAGUGUAUUUCAUGACUCCUCUGUACUUUAGAUGAUGUGACACACAUUACUCCUUUGUACUUUAGGUGAUGUGAUGCAGAUUAUGCAUCUAAAAUGAUCCAUUAAUGAAGAAUGUGAUUGUCAAGGGGAGUACGAUAGUCAUUAUAAUAUCGUCAUUAUGAUACCCCUAAAGAAAAGAAACAAUUGUAUUUUCGGAUCUUUUAUAGUUCCGAAAGCAAACUAAGGAAUACAACAAUGGUGCUUAAAGUGCCAUAAAGAAGAAAGUUUAAAGAUACACCAUUUCUUCAGUGAAGAUGGAGUAAUCUAGGGGAGCAUGUUGUAUGACCUAUACAACACCUGUUGUUAGCUCUACAAGGGUUCUUGUGAUACAGGUCCCUGUAAAACCUAUUGCCUUUUGGAAAUGGGUGACUAUAGAAUUAAUUUGCCUCUUGGCAAUGACAGAGCAAUGACAACCCCAUAUGAAAGAAGUGCCAGUACCUGAGAUUUUGAUGGUCUCUAAGAAUGUGAAAAUCAGAUACUUGUGACUACUAUAAAGUCUAUGUUAGUGAAAUUCCAUCAUUUGAAUUUCACUAACAUAGACUUUAUGAAGGGUCUACAAGGCAAAUGUGACUCCAAAUAAAAUAUGUAAAGGUGUAAAACAUGACUUAAAUCGGAAGAUUUUGUGCAAAGAAAAUGAGAGGACAAUUGCAUUCAUGCAAAGUUAUAGAAUGGGAAAUUCGUUUCCCAAUUCCUGUGCAUGUGGAUGACGUCCUACUUACUAGUGGUGAUGUCAAUUCUAGUGCAGGAGGAGAGAAGAAGUUCUUGUCCUCAGAGUUCAAAAGAAUAAAAGGGGUAUUAGGAAUGUCGCAUGAAAAUGCUAAGAAAGAUUUCUAAAGUAUGCAUACGAGAAAACCUACGCCUGUUCUUAUAGUCAAGGGUAAUGGAACUGGAAACUAUGGUGUUUCAAAAGUUAAUAAGAUAAGAUUGUAAACCAAUAUGGUACCAUAUGCUUCAGUUGAUGAAAGCUCAAGAUAUUACCCUGACGCAGUUCACGUAUAUAUCCGGAUUGUUUUGGCAAUAUCCAGUCCUUAGAUAAAUCAAUGGAAUGGAGUCAAUGAUAUCGGCCUCAUGCUAAAAGAAAUAAGUGUUUUCAAAAGAUUAUGAGUACAAAGGCAGGACUUAUGAAAUGUAUAGCGCAAUCCACAAUUGUCGCUAACUUUCAUACUUGGAGUUUUGUGUGGAAAAUCUCCAAAUGAGUGAAACGAUUGUCAUCAAUGUGAUGCAAUGAUAUGUUAUAGCUUGAUAUGAGGCUGAGGGACAGGCAAAAUGGUUAAUGCUACCUGUACCCGGAGUUGAUAAUGGUUGACAACAACGAUAACCAUUUUAAGAUAUUUCGCUCCUGUCACAACGAGUCAAGUGUUGAUGCCAAACACACUGACAAAGAGUUACGUGUUGUGAAGGAGAAAGUACGGAAUUAUGGAAAAAUGCUUGAAAUAUAAAAGCAACAAACAAGUAUUUGCAGAUCUGCUUAUCAAAGGCUUACCGCCCAGUGUGUUCGGAGAACACACAGUCGACAUGGGUUUUAUGGUAUAGUCUAAUAUUUCCGGACAAUAAAGGGCCCAAGGUUAAAGAAUCUGUCUCAAAAUAGAGAGGUACAUUGUGGCUGUCUGAUUCCAUCGGCAAUUGAGCCGUGACGAUGAAACAUGCCCUAUGUAUUGAUCUGCUACGAAACGGGUAAAGUUAAAAGUAUAUGAUGAGAUCAAGGGGGAGAAUGUUAGAUUGAUCUCUUUCCCAAUGGACCCAACGGCCCAUUGGACCUUGACUCACGCCCUGAUCGGGGGCGUCCAGCCCAAGCACGGCUGGUGGGCCCCUGUCGCGCAGUGCUAUAUAUAGAGGAGGUGGGGACCAUGGCACGGGUUACGAGGUUCGUCGCCGCCACUGGUUCCCCACUCCUAACCCUAAUCCGAUCCAGAGGGUAGCACUGAAGCGAUGGGAAGUCCAUCACCGCCGCUACCGCAUCUCUCUCUCCUUCCCACCGUCGUCACCACUUGACGAUGGACGCCGGAGGGAGUUCAUCGAGCACACUACAAGGUAAUAACCUACCACGCUCACCGAACACAUUUAGCCUUGACGAUCCACGGGAUCUAUCACGUAUAACAUAUUUUAUCUCAUUAGCCUGAAAUUCCUGUCAUUUGACAAAAUGUUUACUUUCUUUAUGUAGAUUUAUUUAAUGUGGAAGGAUGGAAUUGUUAUUCAACAUUGAAGGUUGAUUUCUGGAACUGUUUUGCCUUACAUACUAAAGUCAAACUCCACCAAGACAAAUGGCGGAGUCUGCUCUUCUUCUUGUCACAACAAAGAUCGGAAUAGCGGUGGCAGCAGAAACGCUUCACCAUGUUAGAUCUGUUGCAAAACUCUCAGAGAACAUGACACUGAUAAGGAAUGACCUAGAGCUUAUUAGAGCAUUUCUCAAGGAGAUUGGAAGGAAAAAUUCGACAGAUGGAGUUACCGAAGCAUGGAUAGGGCAAGUCCGAAGAUUGGCGUAUGNNNNNNNNNNNNNNNNNNNNNNNNNNNNNNNNNNNNNNNNNNNNNNNNNNNNNNNNNNNNNNNNNNNNNNNNNNNNNNNNNNNNNNNNNNNNNNNNNNNNUCUGUCCAGAUCUGAAGUAAUGCAUUUAAUUAGUUGUUAAACCGCAAAACAAAUAGGUUCACGUGAUUAAACGCGUCAUUUCAAGCAAUCUACACAUAAAGAACAUCUCCAACGGCGCUACGGAUCAAAAGUUACAAGCACCGCAAGAUAUGAUGGCAUGAAUGCAAUAUGUGUGCAACGACGGUCUCGAGCCCUUCAAAACAUACAAUCCGCAAGAGAAAAUGAAACUACGCGAGAUUCUAAGCAAGUUUAAUAUAUGACUCGAUCAAAACGGAGCUACGGUUCAACAUCUACAAGCAAAACAAGAAAACACUACAAUCUGCCAAAAUCAGCCACAUAGCAUUUUCUACGCCCCACAACUACGAGCUACACAACUCCGAUAAACUCAAGCAAGGCAUGGCACGAAAGAGGGCAAGACGCACUACUACAAACAACUAACAACAACUAGCAUGGCAGCAAGGAACACUAGGGAAAGAAGUCACAAAAUGGCUUCCCACACACUAUUUCAGACUUAGUGAAAAUAACACCCCAUGAAAGUGCAGUUUUCGAUCUGAAGCAAUAUUGACAGCAGCAAAACCUAUAGCUACAGGACUCCAAAUGGUAUGAAAAUUUAUAGCAUGCUAGAGAAACACAAGGGGUACAACUAACUCCAUUGGACCAACCUCAAAAGAGCUACAGAUCACAAGAUGCAAGCAAGNNNNNNNNNNNNNNNNNNNNNNNNNNNNNNNNNNNNNNNNNNNNNNNNNNNNNNNNNNNNNNNNNNNNNNNNNNNNNNNNNNNNNNNNNNNNNNNNNNNNNNNNNNNNNNNNNNNNNNNNNNNNNNNNNNNNNNNNNNNNNNNNNNNNNNNNNNNNNNNNNNNNNNNNNNNNNNNNNNNNNNNNNNNNNNNNNNNNNNNNNNNNNNNNNNNNNNNNNNNNNNNNNNNNNNNNNNNNNNNNNNNNNNNNNNNNNNNNNNNNNNNNNNNNNNNNNNNNNNNNNNNNNNNNNNNNNNNNNNNNNNNNNNNNNNNNNNNNNNNNNNNNNNNNNNNNNNNNNNNNNNNNNNNNNNNNNNNNNNNNNNNNNNNNNNNNNNNNNNNNNNNNNNNNNNNNNNNNNNNNNNNNNNNNNNNNNNNNNNNNNNNNNNNNNNNNNNNNNNNNNNNNNNNNNNNNNNNNNNNNNNNNNNNNNGACUCGAUCAAAACGGAGCUACGGUUCAACAUCUACAAGCAAAACAAGGAAACACUACAAUCUGCCAAAAUCAGCCACAUAGCAUUUUCUACGCCCCACAACUACGAGCUACACAACUCCGAUAAACUCAAGCAAGGCAUGGCACGAAAGAGGGCAAGACGCACUACUACAAACAACUAACAACAACUAGCAUGGCAGCAAGGAACACUAGGGAAAGAAGUCACAAAAUGGCUUCCCACACACUAUUUCAGACUUAGUGAAAAUAACACCCCAUGAAAGUGCAGUUUUCGAUCUGAAGCAAUAUUGACAGCAGCAAAACCUAUAGCUACAGGACUCCAAAUGGUAUGAAAAUUUAUAGCAUGCUAGAGAAACACAAGGGGUACAACUAACUCCAUUGGACCAACCUCAAAAGAGCUACAGAUCACAAGAUGCAAGCAAGACAAGACAACAACAAAAUAAUAACAGAUCCCAGACUUAGAAAUAUUUCAGCACCUCCAAAUCAGCACUAUUUCUAACAACUUGAGAGCAAGCAAACAACACCUAAACAUGCAUUUCUAUUGCAACCAAAAAUACGAGGGGCUAAACAAAACAUCCAAGAUCAAAUCUCUAGUUGACAACUAAUUCAAACGAGGCACGGGAUAAAUCCUACGAAUUAAUCAAAAAGGCAACAUAGCAAAAUAUCUCGCGAACUAACUUGCUAUAAUGCUAAAACUAAUUGCACAGAAAAAUCCAUGAGAUUGUUUUACACCCGGAAACAUAUAAAAUAUGUGGGGUUUGCAACACAAAAUAAUGCCGCACAUAAAUGCGAGAAAAAUAACCUAUACACGGGAAAAUAAAUUACCGGCAAACCCUACACGCAAAAAUACAAAUGACUGGUCUAAAGUACAUGGAAAAAUAGUUCCUAGAACAUGGGCAUUUUGUCUAAGGUACUCGAGCAAUCCGGACCGCAAGAAAAAAAAAUACGGGACGAAACAAUAUAGGACAGCACGUUAAACUAGGCGUUCGACACGUAAAACUAUGUCAAAUAAUUAUGCAAGUUGUGAAAUCAUGUUCUACUCGCAAAACUACCCCAAAACCAUAUAAAACACUCCUCGUUCCGACUUACGGAUAAAAAGUUACGGGCAUUUAAAUAUCUAGCAUAACCCCGAAAAUAUUAAAUCGCAGACUAAUUAGAAAAACCGAAUCGGGCCUAACCUACACAGGGCAUUGGGCGCAAGAUAAAAGAACGCGCCACAGGCGCUAGAUAGGCAACAGGGAGGGGCUCACCUUGUGGGCUUCGGCCCAUGAGGAGAGGCUGGAGCAGAGGGGAGGGCGAGUAGCGCUGGCCUGGGCCUCGGUUCGCUCGUGGGCCUGGCAGGGACGCGGGCCGGCCUGCUCGGCAGGUGAACGCCUAGGCGAGCAGCCUCGACUUUCUCCCGAGCGAAGCGAGCAGCUGCGGCGGCGCAGCGCUGCUCGAGGGAGCUUCGGCGAGCGGACUAGGGCGGCGCUGGCUGGAGAUGGAACACACCUCCCCGGGCCGGAUCUCGCCGGAACCGGCCGGAUCUGGGCGGCGUCGACGGAGAUCAAUCAGGGCUCGUUCGCUGCAGAGAGAGAGAGGAAGAGAAGUGGUGAGGGAGAGGAGGUAGGAGGAGAAGGGAGAGGAGAACGCAGGGCACCGGUUGGAUGGCGGCGGGGUCAGCGCGGUGGCGGCUUGCCGGAGCACCGGUGGCCGGCCGACGUGGGAGGAAGGCAGGGGGGUCUCCGACGAGGGAGAGGCGAGGGGAGGCUCCGGCGUCGAGGGAUCUCUCGGGCACGGGCUGCGCGGAGCGCUGCGGGCGGCGGCGCGAUGCGGGCUCGUGCAGGCCCCAGAUGGGCUUCGCGGGCCUGACGGCUGGAGGGAGGAGAGAGGCUGGCUAUGGUUUCGGGGGGGGGUGGGGUUAGGUUUUGCACGGAUUUCGAGGCAGAGGGGGAUGGNNNNNNNNNNNNNNNNNNNNNNNNNNNNNNNNNNNNNNNNNNNNNNNNNNNNNNNNNNNNNNNNNNNNNNNNNNNNNNNNNNNNNNNNNNNNNNNNNNNNACCUAUCUAGGCAUUUUAAAUGAGGUCGGAAAUGACAUAUAGCACCUCCGAGAUGACCUCACAUGUUAAUUUACAAUUCUGUCCAGAUCUGAACUAAUGCAUUUAAUUAGUUGUUAAACCGCAAAACAAAUAGGUUCACGUGAUUCUACGCGUCAUUUCAAGCAAUCUACACAUAAAGAACAUAUCCAACGGCGCUACGGAUCAAAAGUUACAAGCACCGCAAGAUAUGAUGGCAUGAAUGCAAUAUGUGUGCAACGACGGUCUCGUGCCCUUCAAAAACAUACAAUCCGCAAGAGAAAAUGAAACUACACGAGAUUCUAAGCAAGUUUCAUAUAGGACUCGAUCAAAACGGAGCUACGGUUCAACAUCUACAAGCAAAACAAGGAAACACUACAAUCUGCCAAAAUCAGCCACAUAGCAUUUUCUACGCCCCACAACUACGAGCUACACAACUCCGAUAAACUCAAGCAAGGCAUGGCACGAAAGAGGGCAAGACGCACUACUACAAACAACUAACAACAACUAGCAUGGCAGCAAGGAACACUAGGGAAAGAAGUCACAAAAUGGCUUCCCACACACUAUUUCAGACUUAGUGAAAAUAACACCCCAUGAAAGUGCAGUUUUCGAUCUGAAGCAAUAUUGACAGCAGCAAAACCUAUAGCUACAGGACUCCAAAUGGUAUGAAAAUUUAUAGCAUGCUAGAGAAACACAAGGGGUACAACUAACUCCNGAUAAACUCAAGCAAGGCAUGGCACGAAAGAGGGCAAGACGCACUACUACAAACAACUAACAACAACUAGCAUGGCAGCAAGGAACACUAGGGAAAGAAGUCACAAAAUGGCUUCCCACACACUAUUUCAGACUUAGUGAAAAUAACACCCCAUGAAAGUGCAGUUUUCGAUCUGAAGCAAUAUUGACAGCAGCAAAACCUAUAGCUACAGGACUCCAAAUGGUAUGAAAAUUUAUAGCAUGCUAGAGAAACACAAAGGGUACAACUAACUCCAUUGGACCAACCUCAAAAGAGCUACAGAUCACAAGAUGCAAGCAAGGCAAGACAGCAACAAAAUAAUAACAGAUCCCAGACUUAGAAAUAUUUCAGCACCUCCAAAUCAGCACUAUUUCUAACAACUUGAGAGCAAGCAAACAACACCUAAACAUGCAUUUCUAUUGCAACCAAAAAUACGAGGGGCUAAACAAAACAUCCAAGAUCAAAUCUCUAGUUGACAACUAAUUCAAACGAGGCACGGGAUAAAUCCUACGAAUUAAUCAAAAGGGCAACAUAGCAAAAUAUCUCGCGAACUAACUUGCUCUAAUGCUAAAACUAAUUGCACAGAAAAAUCCAUGGGAUUUUUCUACCCCGGAAACAUAUAAAAUAUGUGGGGUUUGCAACACAAAAUAAUGCCGCACAUAAAUACGAGAAAAAUAACCUAUACGCGGGAAAAUAAAUUACCGGCAAACCCUACACGCAAAAAUACAAAUGACUGGUCUAAAAUACAUGGAAAAAUAGGUCCUAGAACAUGGGCAUUUUGUCUAAGGUACUCGAGCAAUCCGGACCGCAAGAAAAAAAUAAAUACGGGACGAAACAAUAUAGGACAGCACGUUAAACUAGGCGUUCGACACGUAAAACUACGUCAAAUAAUUAUGCAAGUUGUGAAAUCAUGUUCUACUCGCAAAACUACCCCAAAACCAUAUAAAACACUCCUCGUUCCGACUUACGGAUAAAAAGUUACGGGCAUUUAAAUAUCUAGUAUAACCCCGAAAAUAUUAAAUCGCAGACUAAUUAGAAAAACCGAAUCGGGCCNNNNNNNNNNNNNNNNNNNNNNNNNNNNNNNNNNNNNNNNNNNNNNNNNNNNNNNNNNNNNNNNNNNNNNNNNNNNNNNNNNNNNNNNNNNNNNNNNNNNGGGAGAGGCGAGGGGAGGCUCCGNGGCAACAUAGCAAAAUAUCUCGCGAACUAACUUGCUAUAAUGCUAAAACUAAUUGCACAGAAAAAUCCAUGAGAUUGUUUUACACCCGGAAACAUAUAAAAUAUGUGGGGUUUGCAACACAAAAUAAUGCCGCACAUAAAUGCGAGAAAAAUAACCUAUACACGGGAAAAUAAAUUACCGGCAAACCCUACACGCAAAAAUACAAAUGACUGGUCUAAAGUACAUGGAAAAAUAGUUCCUAGAACAUGGGCAUUUUGUCUAAGGUACUCGAGCAAUCCGGACCGCAAGAAAAAAAAAUACGGGACGAAACAAUAUAGGACAGCACGUUAAACUAGGCGUUCGACACGUAAAACUAUGUCAAAUAAUUAUGCAAGUUGUGAAAUCAUGUUCUACUCGCAAAACUACCCCAAAACCAUAUAAAACACUCCUCGUUCCGACUUACGGAUAAAAAGUUACGGGCAUUUAAAUAUCUAGCAUAACCCCGAAAAUAUUAAAUCGCAGACUAAUUAGAAAAACCGAAUCGGGCCUAACCUACACAGGGCAUUGGGCGCAAGAUAAAAGAACGCGCCACAGGCGCUAGAUAGGCAACAGGGAGGGGCUCACCUUGUGGGCUUCGGCCCAUGAGGAGAGGCUGGAGCAGAGGGGAGGGCGAGUAGCGCUGGCCUGGGCCUCGGUUCGCUCGUGGGCCUGGCAGGGACGCGGGCCGGCCUGCUCGGCAGGUGAACGCCUAGGCGAGCAGCCUCGACUUUCUCCCGAGCGAAGCGAGCAGCUGCGGCGGCGCAGCGCUGCUCGAGGGAGCUUCGGCGAGCGGACUAGGGCGGCGCUGGCUGGAGAUGGAACACACCUCCCCGGGCCGGAUCUCGCCGGAACCGGCCGGAUCUGGGCGGCGUCGACGGAGAUCAAUCAGGGCUCGUUCGCUGCAGAGAGAGAGAGGAAGAGAAGUGGUGAGGGAGAGGAGGUAGGAGGAGAAGGGAGAGGAGAACGCAGGGCACCGGUUGGAUGGCGGCGGGGUCAGCGCGGUGGCGGCUUGCCGGAGCACCGGUGGCCGGCCGACGUGGGAGGAAGGCAGGGGGGUCUCCGACGAGGGAGAGGCGAGGGGAGGCUCCGGCGUCGAGGGAUCUCUCGGGCACGGGCNNNNNNNNNNNNNNNNNNNNNNNNNNNNNNNNNNNNNNNNNNNNNNNNNNNNNNNNNNNNNNNNNNNNNNNNNNNNNNNNNNNNNNNNNNNNNNNNNNNNCAAGCUUGUCGCCAUCUCUAUACAGAAGAGAUCCGCUAACAAGACUUUUAUUAACGGAGGGGACAAAAUGCACGUUCUUCAGCCACAUGAUCUUUCCUGAAGUAAACUCUAGAUCGACUGUGUCAACAGCACAAACAGAAGCACUUGAACCGUUUACCAUCAGCAUGACAGUAGUCCAUGUGGCCCGAUAAGAAGAAAACAUGGAAAUAUCACUGCAUACAUAUACAUUAGCACCCAUGUCAAUCAACCAAUCAGGAGAACGACAUACUGAGAGAAUAGUUGGAAGUAUACCGUACCCAACAUCAUUCAUCUCAGUGUCACUAAUGACAAUAUUUGCGUUCUUGUCGCCUUCCACAUGUUGACACUUGUCAUAAUGGUUAGAUCAACUAAGAUCCCAAUGAUCAGGAUCUCCGUAGACAUGACAAACACCCUUUUUCUUGUCGGUCUUGUUCUUGAAGUUGGUGUGCUGCGAAGCCUUGUUCUUCCCGUCGAACUUUCCUUUAGCAGCAAACUUUCCCUUAUUCUUGAACUUGUGGGGCUGGAAUUUAUUUUGUACUAGAUUGGCACUAGAACCUCCCUCAACACCUCGAGCAUGUAUUUCUUUUGCUCUCGCCAUUUCUUCCACAUCAAGAGUAUCAAUGAGAUCCAAAAUGGAAAACUCCUGCCUCUUAUGCCUCAGAGAGGUAGCAAAGUUCCUCCACGAGGGAGGAAGCUUAGUGAUGAUGCCUCCGACAACAAACUUAUCCGGUAACAUACAAUUGAAGUGAUCAAGUUCUCUACCAAAUGUUUGUAUCUUGUGAGCUUGAUCAACCACGGAGCACUUAUCAAUUAUCCCGUAGUCAUAGAAUUGUUUAAUGAUAUAUAGUUCAGUGCCGGCAUCCGAGACCCUAAAUAUGGCCUCGAGUGCAUUCCACAUAUCUUUGCCAUUAUCAAUUGAUGCAUAAGUAUCAACUAUGUUCUCAGUAAGAACACUCAGGAGAGCAGCCUUAAACAAGGUAUCAGUGUUCGAAAAAACUUGUUCCUGUUGAGGAUCAAGAACUCCUUCAGGUUUGCCAAUAGUGGCCCCAUAGCAGCUCAUGGUUUGAACCCAUAGAACGGCUCUCAGACGCCACCUCUUAUGGUGCGCACCCUCAAACAUAGGAGUCCUCAUGAAAGCAAAACAAUCACUCAUGGUAAAUUGCCUAUAGUAAGGUUUUUGAAAUGUUGGAUAAAUGAGCAAUUUACCAUAUGAUUUUAUUAACAGAAAUAGUAUAAGACAAGUCAUGCAAUCUGACAGAGAGUAUACAAAAAUAUUUUGAAGCAGUAAAUAUAUAUAAACGAAACAUAUCUAGAGAAGAAACUAAAACAAGAAGUUGUCGAAGAAUCUCAAACAGAAAGAACAUGAACACGUACUGAGUUGCAGCAGUAGCAUUGGGGUUGGCGUUGACAUCGUCACCGGUCACGUUGUCGAAGAGGUUGUUGACGUCGGGAAGAAGUUGUCGUAUGGGAAGUGGUUGUCGACGUCCGUGGCUUCCGUGAUAAAUAAUUCAAUUGUCGCGCAGAGCACUGCCCAAAAACCUUAACACCCUUUUCCGAAUAGGGCUCGAAGUGGAGGGGUUUUAGAGGCCUACUAUUCCGACCUACGGUGCACGCCGCAAGAUGGGAUGUGCGAAAACCUAUCAGCUUAGAGUUUAGAACUCGGUGGCGUGUGGGAGAUGAUGUUUUGAUAUGCCUCUCUAAAGAGGAGCGACAUCUUUUUAUAGGCACAGGAGAAGGAGGACAAUAGGUCACGAUAAGAGGUGAACCAAAAGAGGGUGACGAAACGAACAUGCAACAGUCAAAGGGUGCAACUUUCGUAUUCAAUCUCCACUACAACAAAACUCUUGAGCUCCCUAUGUGUCCUUUCGUAUACCAAUCAUGCGUGGUAAAAAUUUAGACAACGGCUUAGAUCAUUCCCACAACCUGGGCGCAUCGUGACGAGGCGUGGCAGGCGGCCCGGGGGGGGGGGCGCAGAGUAGGAGCGGACGUGAAUGUCUCUCUUGUUCUCAUCCUCAUACAUGUGGAAAAACAACCUCCCUUAUAAGCAGGUCUAACUCCUACUAGGUGAGCAACAUGGAAAUAAACUUUAAUCUCACUUCUUGUCUUGCAUGAAUGGGUUAACUGGGCCUCUAGGAUUUAUUAGGACUUCUAAAAAUGUUGUUGGGCUGGCCUAAAAAUAGACUAAAUUUCAACAGGUGUACGGCGACUUGUAAAAGCGGCCUCGGUAAGCAGGGGCGGCAACACUGGAGGAAUGCAUUUUUGAUGGUUGUCCUUGAGUACCGAGUCUUGGUCCCAGUAUGAAAAUCCAAGGCCUGGCCUUUAUUGGUUAUAUAUUUGUCAAUGACCUUGUUGAAAGCAUUGUUUUGGGUUAACUUGGACUUUUUUGGAUGAAAAUCCAAGAUCUUUGAUCGGACAAUGACAACGAUUGUGCACUAUUUCUUUCUUGGAGGUGUUGCUUUACCAAAAAGGCUUCCUCACUACUAGGAAAAGGCUUGCUAAUGGCGCACCUAUUUUGGCUACUAAUGGCGCACUAUAGGUGCGCCACUAGCAUCACGCCAUUACAUUUUUUUACUAAUGGCGCACCACAGGUGCGCCAUUAGUAUCUGGUAUACUAAUGGGGCACCAGGCAGUGCGCCAUUAGUAUGCCUCCCAGGUGCGCCAUUAGUAUAGCUCAUGGUGCACCACAGGUUAUACUACCAGCUCUAAAAAUAUUCAAUUAUUAUCCUCACACCCACAAGAAGGUUCAAGAUAAACACAUAUUACACCACAAUGAAAAUAUGUUUAUAAACAUGCACAUACAUUGAACGCAAGUUGACAAACAAAUUAACCUAGAUUUUUGCCAUGCAGCUUGUUCCAUAGAACCAAUAAUAAAGCCUCUAAAUAGCUGAAAAUAAGUAUACUAAACUCAUGAUCAAUACACAUCUCUUUUCUUAUAAUUAGGCAUCAUGUGCGUGCAAACGAUUAAUACAUAAAAAAAAGAUGAACCAAAAAUAUGAGUACAUACAUGUUGUCCUCCAACAAAUAAAAAAUAGGAACAAAAAAAGAUGCAUAUUCCAAAAGGCCACAUGCUUCAGAUUUUAGCAAAUGUAACUACAACUAUCAGUUCUGUGGAGGGGGGGAGAUUUAAAAGGUAACAUAGUAACAUGUUGUAUGAGCAGUGGCUGCAACUCCUUUUACUGAUGGCGCCAACUUGGAGUCAGCAUCCCCAUACAUAAACUGUGCAUAAGAUGGAGUACCCUGCAAAGAAUAUAGGCAGGCAAAAUGUACUUAGACUAGCAGUUGAACAAUAUUUGAACACAGUUAAUAAUCAUAUUGACCUUCACAGACAAUAGGUGACUACAAGCUUGCACCUUCACAUUUUGAGUAGUUUGAGAGUCGGGUGGAUAUAUAUCCGUAUUUACAAAAAAUCAUUUGUGAGAAUACCAAGUCACCUCAGGAAGUCGUGGCGAUCCCAUGAUUCACGGCCCAGACCAGAGAAGUCACUACACAAAGGUAUAAUGUGCGGCUUCAUGUCAAGAUGCAUAAUCACACUAUUCAGAGUUGAGAAGUCAAAAUUAAUGAAUCAAUGCACCAGGAAAAUAAACUAAAGAUACCAAAGACAUAAAUAAGUUACCGAUGGUUUUCCGGUUCAGGUUCAGUUAGACCAUGCACAUCGUCCUUGCAUGCUAAGACGAUACUAGCUGACCGGAGUUUGGGCUUGUCAGAAAUGCAACCGGAUGCUGCGUGGGCAGAGAAUGUCCCACUGGCAAGAGGGAAAUUGCUGUUACUCCAUUGCCGCAAUAAAACAUCCCUUGAUUGUAAAAAAAGAAUGUGGAAUUUCAUUUACCGCCAAAUAUUCGUAAUGUCAGAGCUUCCGUUGGGCGAAGUUUUCUCGGAAAACUGCACCAUCUGCUCAUGAGAAAGAGCAUCCAGAGUCUCCUCAGGCUUGUGGCUGACCAUUAGUGUGUCUUUGCGCUUGCUGGUUCCCUGAGCAUGGCCAUGUAAGUUGGCUUUCCCAGCAGACAGGAACUUGCUUGCUUUAUCAAUCAAGGCGGUAAGCAUUUUCGAUAUACGAUACUCCUGGGCCAAAUUGCUCUUGCCCGACGUUCCGCAUCCCCGAAUCUCCCCUCUGUAUAGCUCAAUCCCAUGUCUGUGUGUAUAGCAAAAACAGAUUACCAGCCAUAUAUAUAUAUAUGGAACCAGGCGAUCAGCUUGGUAAGCUACCAACAAAAAUUACCAUCAAAGCUAUAUAUAACUGAAAUCACCGGCGGUUAAUAAUUAUCCAAAAAAGCGCAGACCUACGUAUUUGCGCGGCCUUAAUGAGGAGGAAAUAUAACUGACAUCAUACCGUAGCUCUUGGAUGUCAAAGCGGAUUUCUCGUGCUUGUGCUCCUCGUGGACCAGAGCACGUCGGCAGAUGUCCCAACCACGAAGUAGCUUCUACAACUUCUGAAAGAAGAUCAUCCCGCUUAGCUGCAAUUUCCAAGCAGAUGUCCUUUCCAUUGUUUCUGAUCUGAUGGAAGGCGCCAAAGCUGAGGUAGGGGAAACUAGAGACGAUGAGGCGCCAAACCACCUCGGAAGACAGCAAAUUUUGUAAAUCCGAGAUAAAUGACCGAACAGCACAGCCUCAAGUUCCACAGUGACAAAGGAGCAAAGACAUAUCAGAUGAUGUAAUUUGCUAGGUGGUUUUAAUGUCAAUAAUCACUAAAUCUAGUCCCAAAUAAUAACCUUGCAAGGAAGUGAUGCUGCGUUGAUGCGAACACAUAGAAAUAAUAAAAUAUACAAUUUAAGGAAGAAAUCCUCACCCUCAACUUAUGGAACAGGGCAAGGGCUUCCCUCCAGGAGCCAUGCAAGGCAAACGCCAUGAUCAUCGAGUUCCAAGAACAGAGAUCUCGCCGACCACCGAUCCCCUGAAACACCUGCCAAGCUCUUUGGAUGCUUCCACACUUGGCAUACAUCUCCAGCAGUGCAUAUCUCCAUUUACGUGAUAUCUGUUUGAACAAAAUACCGUUAAAACUGUGCUUUCUUUCAAGGUAACGCUUUAAGAAGAAAUUUUUGGCAUAACUUCGCAACAAGACAGUUGAGAGAGAGCGGGGUUGGUGGUAAUAAUCUACCAGCAGGUUCAGAAGAGGCCCACCAUUGGUUCAGCUAAUACACGUACGAGGAUCGUAACAGUUGUUGUUACUGGAAGAUUUAAUGUAAAGCUAUAAUCAGGAGUACAGGACAAGGUUUAUAAAUGUGAUUCUCCGUGUUGAAAUGAAAAAUAAACACAGUUCCAUCAAGUAUUAACAUUGGAUAUUUCAAGAGCUCAACAUAAUUUCAACUCUAAAAUGAUACUGACCACCACCACCACCGAGUGAAAGCAACUGUUAUAGAAAGAAUAUAGGCAGCGUACACAUAUGCCUUUGUAUAAAUCAGGAUGAAAAACAUACCAGAUUAGGUGCAACCCAGCCGAGAGAAGCAGAUAACGCCGUCAUCACCUAGAAUUUUUUUAAACUCUAUCAGUCAGGCAGAAAAAGACAGGCCAUUACACUAGAUUAGAGCAUGUUUGAAAAAAAUUCUCACUGUUAAUGCCGAUAGACAGCCAGCAAGGACGAGCUUCCGGGGAUGGCGCAUGGCCAGAAUCUUGUAUAGAAGUUAAAUGGAAAACAUGAUAAGCCAAGAUAUGAAGGGGAAAAACAGAAACAGAAACAGAGCAAAGCAGAGUGAGUACAAAAAAAACUCUCUGCAGAAGUGGGGAAUGGCUGUUAGUGUAUCACCAAAGAGGGCUAUGUUUGUCCUGUUACUUGAGACCAUGUCAAACGCAUCAAUCAUUCUCUGAAGAGCAAAAUAUGCUGCAGCUACGGUGCUUCUAAAGGUUACCCCGUCGGUGAAACAUUUUUCGGUGGGAAUUGGAAAAGGACGUAGGAGCAUGCAUCUGAACAAAAACUAGCAACAAUCCAACGCAAGUGGAGAGCCCAGCUGGUGUGGGGAGCAAAAUCGGGAAGCGCAGCUGGUGUGGAGAGCAACUGUCUAACAUAGUACUGUACUGUACUUGGAGCAGAAGUUAACUUCCUAACUUUGUCACCAGGCACUGAUUAAGAAUCUUCUACUCCUCAUAUACGACUGUACAUACUGCAGAAUUGCAAAUCAUGCAAAAUGUUCAAACAUGUGACAGUAAUGCUGGAGGAGGGGGGAGAGAGAGAUUACGUAAAGUAGGGCGGGUAGUUGAAAAAGUGGCGGAGCUUGAAAUCCACCCGCCGCUGCAUCUCCGCUGAAGCGCGGGUUUGCGGAACGGUUGGAUGGACGGAUGCCUGAAGGAGAAGCUGCUGGGUGCGGUCUAGCUUGCUGCGGAGCUAGGAAUUUAAAACGUGGUGGUUCGCCUGAAGAUAUUGACACCAAAUAUGACAUGUGAACGUUCUAACUAAUUUACCAAUAGCAUAUCUAAAUAAAUAAAUCAAUGUGUUCUUACAGACACAUAAAAUUCUCUAUUGUAUUAAGUCUCAGUUUUGCAUAGAAUAAACCUACAUAGUAGGUACAUAGUACCAAUUCUUCAACAUUUCUACAAGAAAAAAAAUACAGUCUAGCCGUCACUGUAUUCUAUCAAGUGUCAAUCAUAAUUGAACAACAGAAAAUGCAUCCAUCAAUAUAAGGGCUGAAUCAGAAAUUGGGAAAAGUGGGGAAUGGGGAUAACCUUACAUGUGUGCUGUGUUUGGUCGUGGGACAGGACAGGGUCAACGGCGGCCACCGGGCAGGACUGGUCUGCGGACUGGGCGGAUGGGCACGGUGGAUGCGGGGAUGGGCAGAGCGAGGCAUGGAUUGAGGGCGGGAUGCAUCGAUGGGCGAUUAACCGGUGAGGCGCGGAGCACGGAAGCGGGUGGGAGGCGGCCGGCAGCGGGUUCAGAUAGCCGGAGACAGUCAGUCUCCACCGGAACCUAGCAAAGGGCAAGAAACCAAACCCCGCACCGGGGACGACGUCAGCCCAAUGAGCAAACAGCAGGCGCCGCGAAACUAGAGGAGAGACGGGCGGAUCUGGAGUACGAGAAUUCUUGGAAAGCGUAGACGACGGGGUGGAUCUUGGGGAUGACGACGGGGAGUCGCUCGAACACCACCGCGGCCACGAUCUUCCCGUCAGCCCCUUCCUUCGAAAGCCGCGCGCCCACCGGAGCGACCGGAGGUGGAGGCUCGCCGGCAAUCGCGGCAGCAUGUUGGGGAUGGAAGGAGGGGGGAGUUGGGUUUUUUUUUAUAACGGGGGGAGUUGGGGUUGUGGUCGUGGGUGGCAGAGACAUUUUUUUACAAAACUAUUAAUGACGCACCACCAGCUGGUGCGCCAUUAGUAACCUGUUUACUAAUGGCGCACCAGCUCGUUAUGCGCCAUUACUAGUUUUGUAAAAAAAAAGUAGUGGCGCACCACCUAAAAUGCACCAUUAGUAACCCUGGUUACUAAUGGCGCACCAGGUGCUGGUGCACCAUUAGUAGUUUUGCAAAAAAAAUAUAGUAGUGGCUCACUGGAUGAGUGGUGCACCAUUACUAGUUAAACUAGUAAUGGCGCACUCUGCCCCUGUGCGUCAUUAGUAAUUUUGCAAAAAAAAAUAUAGUAGUGGCGCACCGAGUGUGUGGUGCGCCAUUAGUGUCCAUCACACUAAUGGCACACCUCACAUGGUGCGCGACUACUAUAUAGUAGUGGCGCACUGCUUGUGUGGUGCGCCAUUAGUAUCUAUAUCAUCUAUAGCCCUUUUCCUAGUAGUGCCUCCCCGCUUUGUAUAUAAAGCAAUGACCCGUCACAUCUCAGAUACAAAUGCACGCCAGCACAACACACGCAUAUACCCAAGUCUGGAAACAUAGGCGCUGAGCUCGGUCCUGCAGUCGGGUGCAAGACGAGCACGGUCCUGCUGCCGGGUGCGAGAUGGACGAUGGACCGUAGUCGGGGGAGGGCCGAACCUACGACGAAAGUAGCAACCAGAUGACGAGGGGAGGGACCGAAGGUCGAAAUAGGCUGCCUAUAGACGAGCCGACACCGGAAAGCCAGCCGUCGCCCCAGCCGGUCCGUCGAGCUUCCAUGAUGCCGACACGGCGAGGAAGCUACCACAAGAGCCGAGCCACCAUGUCGCCGCUCCCCACAGCCGGAGCAACAACCACGCCGUACCGGUGUCCCAACCCGCGCCGCCAGCCCACCAGGCAUCGGUAAAGCAAACGCUCGCCACCACCACCACAAUCCUAGCGCCACCACGACUUGGCUAGGUCCAGCCGGAGCCCCACCACCCCACCGGAGCAAACAGACACCAAUGGCAGAGCAAGAGCCACGCCGUACCGGUGCCCCAACCCACGCCGCCAGCCCACCAGGCAUCGGUAAAGCGAACGCUCACCACCACCACCACAAUCCUAGCGCCACCACGCCUUGGCUAGGUCCAGCUGGAGCCCCACCACCCCACCGGAGCCCCUCCCUCUCCGGCCAGUCACCCCUUCCACUGCCAACCACCACACCGUCCAGAUCUGGGCAGGGGGCUAGAUCCGCCUCCAGCACGGCUCACAACGCCGCCGGACCACGAGUUGCGCUGGAGAGGGAGGAGGAAGCAUCUUCGGCCACCAGAACGCCAGGAGGAUGAGGGAGGCGGAGCAGGACCGGCCCGACGGCCGACACCACCGAGCAGAGGAGGGGCGCCCCGCGAUGGCCACCAUCUGCGUGCGGGGGGAAGCGGCCCCGCCGCCGCCAGCGACACCUAGCCUUAGACCGGCGACAUCCCCAGUGGCGGUGAGGGAGAGGGCCGAGGGGAUGAGGGCGGGAGGAGGCGGCGCUAGGGUUCCUCCAGGGGGCGCCCAUGGGAGCGCAACCGGGAGGGGGGAGGGGGUGUUUAUGCACCUUCGAGGUGUUGUUUUUGAAGAACCUUUUUUGUAUUCUGGGUGUUGUCUUUGGUGGUGGUUAGAGUGUUGUUGUUUCUAGUGAUUGUUCACCAUGACGUGGUCUUCUUUUUUCUCUUCCUUUCGUUCUUUUUAUUUUCCUUUUUGAUUUUGUGUAUGCCUUGAUGAUUUUGGACAUCAUGUUGGUAAAGAGACCGAGUGUAAUGAGUAUCUUUACGAUAUUAAUAUAUUUCCUUGGUCGAAAAUCUCUAGUUGUUAACCAUGUUGUUCUAUUUCACUAUAUCCUACAAUCAUUGGAUCAAUCGACAUCGGAUAAAUCUUAUAAGUAAUUAGGAACAACACUAUAUUGGUGCAACCGCGAUUCGUAUCUCCGUAGGGGCAUGUUUUUAAAGCUUGCUUUACGUACUACUCCCUCCGUCCCAAAAUAAAUGUCUUAAGCUUAGUCCAACUCUGUACUAGCUCUAGUACAAAGUUGAGACAGUUAUUUUGGGACGGAGAUAGUACUAAACAUCACUAUGAAGUACCUAUAAAACCUGUCAUGUUGCUAGCAGACAGCAUAGCCAUAGCGUCGCUUGAACGGACAGAACACCCAACUGUUACAACGUCAUCUUACUAGCCUGAAAUUUCUGGCAUUGACAAAAUAUUUGCUUCCUUUAUGUAGAUUUCAUGCACAAAGAUGGAAUUUUUUUUACUACAUUGAAGGUUUUUGGCUGAAAUACUGAAGUCAAACUGCACGAAGAGAAAUGGCGGAGUCUGCUCUUCUUCUUGUCACAACAAAGAUCGGAAUAGCGGUGGCAGCAGAAACGCUUCACCAUGUUAGAUCUGUUGCAAAACUCUCAGAGAACAUGACACUGAUAAGGAAUGACCUAGAGCUUAUUAGAGCAUUUCUCAAGGAGAUUGGAAGGAAAAAUUCGACGGAUGGAGUUACCGAAGCAUGGAUAGGGCAAGUCCGAAGAUUGGCGUAUGAUAUGGAAGACAUUGUGGAUCAAUUUAUGUAUGUUAUUGGCAAACAGCAUCAGAAAGGAUCUUGGUGGAGUAGUGUGAAGAAAAUCUUGAAGAAACCCCAGCAUCUGUUUACACUAGGUGAAAUCUCUACUGGCCUUGAGAAAAUAAACCGAGCCCUCACACAUCUUAAACAAAACAGAGACUGGACUCAACCAAUAGUUGGUGUGGGCGAUGUUUUUGCAACAAAUUAUGACAGCCAACAACAACUAUAUCUUCCUGGACAUGAUUACUCGAUCUCUGAUGAUGAACUUGUGGGAUUUGAUAAAAAUAGAAAAAUAUUGAUGGGGUCACUGAAUUUGGAAAAUUGUCUCAACCUGCAAAUCAUUGCGUUGUGGGGUAUGGGUGGUAUCGGGAAAAGCACUCUUGUCAGUAAUGUGUUCAGAAAAGAAGCACCCAACUUUGAAUGCCAUGCAUGGGUUUCUGUCUCCCAGUCCUAUAAACUAGAUGAUAUUUGGAGAAGAAUGCUGAAAGAAAUCUAUUCUAAAGACAAGAAAGAAUUUCAUGCUGAGAAGAUGACCUGUGGGGAGCUACAGGAUGAAUUGAAGGAAAUCCUGAAGAAAAAGCGAUACUUGAUCAUAUUGGAUGAUGUCUGGACAGCUGAAGAUUUUAGAAAAAUUAAAGAGGUUCUUGUUGAUGCAAAAAUGGGAAGCAGAAUAAUAAUCACAACAAGAUCUGAAGAAGUUGCUUCAAUAGCUCAUGAUGGUUGCAGGAUCAAAGUGGAGCCUCUUGAGGAGGAGGAUGCAUGGCGUCUUUUUUGCAGGAAGGCAUUUCCAAACACUGAAAAUCACAUCUGUCCAUUAGCAUUACAAGAGUAUGGUAAAUUGAUAGUGGGGAGGUGUGAUGGUUUGCCAUUAGCUCUUGUGGCUAUAGGGAGCUCAUUGUCUCUUAAGGCGCAGAAUUUGACAGAGUGGAAACUAUUUGACGAGCAACUUAUUUUCGAGCUACACAAAAAUGAGAACCUAAGUCGCGUGGUGAAAAUUCUGAAUCUAAGCUACAAAUACUUGCCUGACUAUUUGAAGAGUUGUUUCUUGUAUUGUGCCAUGUUCCCAGAAGACCACAUGAUUCAUAGAAAAAGAUUGAUCAGACUGUGGAUUGCAGAAGGAUUUAUUGAACAAAUU